rnacentral:lncRNA from 1 species
UUCAUUAUCGUCUUCCUCGUCCUCGGCAACCCAAACGUCAGGCGAUGGUUGGAAAACCAAGGAUUGAACGAAGUCAAUCCCAAAGAAACCCAAAAGGUAAAUAAAGGACGCGAAAAAUGAGAGAAGGGCGAUGAUGUCGGAAAAGGUGACGACAUGGAGAGCUGUGGAGGUACGGAUCUUCUCACGCCAACGGGAAAGAAGGAAAUAAACCACCGAGAAGAAGAGGGUGAAGAACAGGGCAUUCGUUAGGUGCAAGGGAAGCGGCAAUGCGUCUGAGGCUUUACCGUGAUCUUCCUCUAAAGGAAUCUUCUUCGUUGGCUUGAGAGAUUGAACAGGUUUAGUCGAAUACAGCCGGGGAGCCUCCAUACUGGGUGUCGACGGCAGCGGAAGCCCGGCAGUGGAGAAGGAGAAUAGAAGAGGAAUGGAAGUGAGAGAGGAUUUCAGUUAGUUUUACGAUUAUGGGGGUAGGUGCAGUUUGAGAUAUUGGAGUUUAGGGAGGGAAGGGGAUUAUUUAUAGGAUAGAGAAAAGAGUAGAGAGAGCGUAGUGUUUGGCACGUGUUAGUGCGGAGCUUUACCAAGUGACGAGUCAAAGAAAGAAUUUCAAGGGAAGUGUUUGGAAGCGUGCGUGCAGUGCAUGUGCAUGGUGGGGCAUUGCAUUUUCCUUUCAUUUGUUCUUUUCUCCUGCCAAAUUAUGAGAAUUUGGAGACGAUGCUGAUUUUAAAAAUAUAUUCAGGAAAAUUUACAAUUUUUUUUCUGAUAUUUCGAAAAAUAAACUGAUUUUGAAAAACCUAAUAAUAAGCUUAUUUUGUAGAAAGUGUUUUUUUUUCUUCUCGUAGGAUUACUUUUUAACUUUUUAAAUAUAUUGGUUCAUUUUGUUAGAUGAUUAAAUGUUAGUAGUUUUAUUCUUGAUUUUCAAGUUCGAUUUCUCUUCUAUUUACAUUUGUAUUUUUAUUUCAUAUUGUUUCAAGCUUUGCUUUAAUACAUUAGCUCCUCUUAUUAGAUACUUAAACAAUAGUGAUUUUAUCCUUUUAAGUCUUAGCUUCGAAUUUUCUUUUAAACACAAUUGUAUUUUUUUGUUUCACAUUGAAGUUUUUUAUUUAUUUAUUUUUAAUUAAUAAUUCUUUUAUUUAUAAAAUAAAAUAAUUAUUUCAAAUUAUAUAAUAUAAAUUAUAUUUUGAUGAAAUUGAUAUUUAUCAUUAUGUUAAAUAUAUUUUAUUUUUUAAAAGCAACAACUAUUUUGUUAUAUUUUUUUUAUAUAAAAUAUUUAGUUUCUCCACAUAUAUUGUGGGUAUGAUGAUUUCUAAUAUUAUAAAAUCAAUCAAUUAUUUCAAAUAUUAUUAUUUUUUCAUGUGCAUCGUGGGUAUGAUAUUUCAAAUAAUUUUAUAUGUUAAAUAUUUCAAUUAAUUAUUUUAAAUACAUAUACAAAGAUAUAUAAUACUAAAAUUUACUAUAUUCAUGAUAUGGAUUGAAAAAUAAACAUUACACAUAUAAAAAUUAUAUUUACUAAAGAUAAUGAUAUUUGACAAUAAUUAUUUGAUAUUUUAAAUAAAAUAAUUAUUAAUUAAAAAGAUAAAUAAAAAAACUUGAAAACAAUAUAUUUAUUAAUUAAAAAUAAAAAAAUUUGAAACAACAUGAAAUAAAAAAAAAGUACAAACUUUCUUAGAAGAGGAAUCAAACCUAAGACUUAAUGAUAAAAUCACUAUUAUUUAAUCAUAUAUACAAGGUAAAAUAAAAAUACAAACGUGAGUAAGAGAAUAAUUUAACCCAGAAUUAAUGAUAAAACCAUUAAUAUUUAAUUAUCUGACUAAAUAAAUUGAUAUAUUAAAAGAGUUAAAAGAACACGCGGUAUAAAAAGCGUUUGUUUUUUUAUUUGUUUCUCCAAAUUUAAACCUGCUAUUUUGAUAUUUUCUGUCACUUAUUUAGCAUUAUUCUGUCUUUAAAUUAUUCCUAAUUUUGGCUUGUUUUUCAUUAAUUAAUUCAAAAAGUUUAUUAUGAAUGUAUUUAAUAAAAAAGAAAUCUGGAGGUUUUUCUUUUUGCUCAUGAUUAAUUGGAUAAGUUUACAUUUUUACAAAAAACACAUUAAGACAAAGUCAGAGUGAAAAAAAUAAUUAAGCAAGAAAAAUUCAGAAAAAAAUUGACUCUUUAAUAAAAAAAUGUAAAGAUUUAUUUGUUUUAUUAUUGAAAAGAAAAUGCCAUUCUCAAUUAAUAUCAGUAAUAGUCAAAUUAAUUGGGACCAUUUUUCUUUGUCCUAAUUGGGACUAUUUUUUUUUCGCAUGUUUAUUUCAUGUUAUUUUUUAACAAAACUAAAGAAAAAAAAUUGACCAAUCUGAAUUCAAAAUAUAAUUAAAUUUUUUUAUAAAUACUUAUUAAAUUAAAGUCCAAAUUUGACGUUUAUAAUAUUUUAAUAUGCUCAAAUGAUGACUUUUUUAUAUUAAAUAAAAUCUAAUCCACAUUUUACCCCCUUCCUUAAAUUUCAGUCAGUCAAAUCACAUUAAAUUCAAAAUAGGAUGCAUAAUUAUUUAUUAUAUAUACAAGUGAUUGCAAUUUACAUGCAUAUAUGUAUAAUAUUAGUUCAUGCAGUCACCAAUAGUUGAAUAUUAACAUUUACAAUUAUUUCACUCAUUGCAAUGAGUCAAAAAACUAGUGCUUUGCCCUUUUCUUUUUCCCGAUAAAAUGUAUUAUAUAUAUAUUAGCAAUGCAAAGUAGAUAAUCUCAUAUUAAUCGAGAAAAGAUUUUUAAGAGGAUUUAAAUACAGUUUUACCUUUUAAUAUCAUUAUUAUUAAAGCUAAAGGUUUAACACAUAUGUGUUGUCAUCUCCUGCUUGACUCAGUUUGUGUUUACUAUAUGUAUUGUGUGUCUUACUAUUGUAGAAUAUUCUCAAUAGAGGAGGAAAAUCAUCUAUUAUUUUUAAAAAUUGAAAUUGUUAUUUUACUAUUUUAUUUUAUUUUAGUGUUUAAUGUACCUCCCACGAUAGUACAAGAAAAAUAAUAUGAAAUAGACGAUAAGAUUGAAGUAAUUUUCUUUUUCCAAAAUAAAAAGCAUGCAUGAGAAUUAUUCAUCACCAUGUGCUAAAGACUUGGACUGUUUAUCAAAUUUUUCUUCAAAAAAUCAUAUAAUUCGUAAUGAAAGUAUAUAUAUAUAUAAACAUAGUCAGGCCAACCAAUGUAGAAAAAAAACUAUCAUGAUAUCAUCUUUUCUUAUUGCCCAGUAUUUAUUUAGCAAAUAUUGACUGUAAUAUUGUCAUGAUUAGACCAUAUUAUUUUUGGACAAGAACAAGGUCAUUUCCACACAGGAAGAAGUGCAGUCCAUGCUCAUAGCCUGCUUAUGCAUUUACAGAAAAAAAAAAGGAAUUUAGGUAAAAUUUGAUGUUAAUAUUUCAGUGAAUAUUAAAUAGUUGUAUAUGAUAUUGAUAUUAUAGGUAGAUGAAUUGAGUUUAAGACGGUUCAACCUAUAAAUACCUUUAGCAUGUUUAUGUAAGGAAAAUAAUAUAGUUUUUUUACGAGUUUUUUAAUGAAGGAUAUUAUACCUUAAUUUCAUAUAAUAUAUGUGUAUUUAUACUAUUGUUUAAGUUUUUGAUUGGGCUAGUGUCACUCACAACCGGGUCACUAAAUUUAGUAGGAAAAUUAUUGAAACAUCCUUUCAUAAUUAAAAUAAGUUGCAUUAUUCGAAGGUAUUUUAGUCUUUUUAUUUUUAAAAAGCAAAUAAAAAUAUGUAUAUGGUGGAAUUUGAAUCCAAACUAAUUGGGUUAAAAAAAUAUAUUUAAUUUAUCACUCAACUAAAUUUCUUUAUUUUGAUAUUUUUAUACUUUUUUUAUUUUAUUAUGCAUAAUUUAUUUUAAUACCGUACAUAUUUCAUGUAUUAUUAUGUUUAAUUAGUUUCAAAUCAUACGUUUUAUUAUUUAUUAUUCGUAAACACAUAUUUAUAUUCUAAAUUUGUUGUUUCUACACGUAUAUGUGUGAGAUAAAGUUUCUAAUAUUUAUAAAAUAAUAUAAUCCUUAAAAAAGAAACACAAACUUCUAGGUAAGUGAGGUUUUUACCAAAUGACACAUGUUGGUAAUUGACACUUUUGGGUGGUUAUUGAUGGCAUUGUAAAGUCUUUUGAUCUUAACAUUAUGCAAAUCAAAACCUUAGUAUUGCACAAACAAUGCUUUUUGGAUAUUUAGAAUAAUAUGAUUAUCAUAAGUUUAACAAAUAUCUUAUGCGGAAUUGAAGUUGGUUAUUAGAUUUGACGAAGAACACUUGAUAUAUUGAUUUUUCUCUCUUAACAUUUUUCCUUUAAUUACACAAAUCCUAAGCAAUGAAGGCAAAUUUUUUAUGUAAGUGGAAUUAAUUUAUAAUGAUAAACUUUUAAUAUGAUCAAGUAACCUAAUGAAAUGAUAAAAUUUAAUUUCUAUUAAAGUAAAAUUUUUAGGCCUCAUGAUUUUAGACUUAUUGGGUCCACAUAAUUGGGCUUAAAAUCUUACAUUCUCUCAUUUGGUCUAAUCAGAUAAAACAUAAACUUUAAUAGAACAAUUGUUGAGUGCGCAUAAAAAUAAUAGAAAAUUUGUCAUUAAAAUUUGAUUAGGUUGACCUCAUAUAAUGUGGCAUAUAAUUAACAGAAAAUAAACAUGUUAAAUUGACAAAUUUUGAUAGAAACUACCAACGACAAUAAUAACCAAAUUAGAAUCUUUAAAUUAAAAAGAGAAGAUUGAAAUUUUAACUUUUAAAGUACAAGAACCCAAUCUCAAAUUCAUUACAAGUACAGGGACUAACAACACAUGUUAGCUUCUUCUUUUUUUGAGGUAAAAAAAAUAAUCAAUAUAUGACCAACAUGCAAUAAAAAUUUGUUUUAUUUUAAAUAUUAAAUUACUUUUAUUUUAAUUAAAAUUUUUAAUUUUUUUAAUUUAACAAUUGACCCGAGUGAUAAAGUACUUGCAAAUAAAUAUUUUGUGGGCAAAGAUUUAAUCAUUAAAUAUUACAUUUUUAAUUAUUUCAUUUAAGUAUUUUGUAUAAAAAUAGUAAAAGGCGAAAACAUUAAUACUAUAAUUGUGAGACACCUCACAUGCGAUCCAAUAGUCUAAUCCAAAUUGGCGACAUCACAUUAUAUUGUCAGAGUAACUCAGACUAACUAGAUAAACAAAUAAAUCACGUAUAAUUUCAAUUAAAUCACGUGUACAUGUUUAAUGAAUGUCAAUUGAUCUAGUUUAAAGUAUUUAGGAAUUGUACUUGAUCAAAUAUGGAGUUGGGAUUCGAAUCCAAACUCAUUUAUCCAAAUUUUAUAGGGAGUUUCAAGACAUGACCUUCAUGUCUCGAGACACUAAUAAAAUAUGGUCUACAAUGAACAUUUAAAUGUAUUCAAUCACAAACCAAUUCAUACUUAACUUAAACAAACUUUAUACCAAUUUCACAUGCAUGAAUUUAACAAACAAAUAUAUAACCAAAUAUCCGAACAAUUUAACAAUCAAGUCACCUCAACUUAAUGUAGUUAAAUAAAUGGCUUAAUACUUAUAUCCAUGCAAACUCAUUCAUUACUCAAGCAUUAAAACUCAACAAAAGAAACCUUAUAGGUCCAUAGCUAACCAAAACAUACCAUAUUGACCAAAACAAUAUUUAACUCGAGUUGAAUUAUUGACCUUAGAUGUUUUACAAUUUUAAUCUACUAAAAUCCUGUCCGAGACAUGUGCACAAAAACAAACAUAACUAUACGUUGAGUAUUAAAUACUUAAUGGUGCUAGCAUAAUCUGAAUUCAAAUAUAUAACAUUAAGCAAUUUAAUAUACUAAACGAAAACUUCAUUUAAUAGAUUCAAUGUCAUAAUACUAAGAUGGCAUUCUAGUAUUUCAUUUACCCAAUUUCAUAUGGAGCAACAAUCAUCCCGUAACUUUAUACCAUUUCAUUUAUUCACCCUCAUGGUAUUUAAGUAACAUUUACCUGUGCAAUCAAUUUUCUCCUCGUGAGGCAGGUUCAGACGUCACGAUAUCCAAAACAAUAUUGAAAUUGAAAGUCUUGGGGUCUCAGUGUCAUGAUACCCAUCUUUGGUAUCGCUAUAUCACUAGAGUUGACCUUAAGUUUUUUCACUUCAGCAUUGUCAGGGGUAUCACGACUUUCAUGGCCUCAAUGUCGCGAUACCCAGUUCUGAAUGAUAAUUUCUUCGAGUUCGAGCCAUUAUUGACUUCCUACACCAACUCAAUCAUAUCAUUAGGUCCCUCAUGACACCAUUUGGCCAACUUGGGUCUCAAUAUGGCAUAAAACUAAUAAAAAUCAUUAAUUAAUAACAAAAGCAAAAAAUCGACAAAAGUAAAGAAAAUACACUUAUAUUGCUUGAGAAUAAGUUCCUCGAGUGUAAUGGAAAGCCUAAUUUGACAUAUCAAAUUACGUUAGAUCACUUAUUCGAUACGAGUUCAAACCGUGUUACCCCCUUACCCUACCCCUAAUAUUGUACAAAAAAACUAAUUGCUAAUCUUCUAAUGUAGUCUCUGUACUAUAGUGCUUAAUGAUUUAUAUAAUUUAAUUACUAAAUAAUUUUAUUUCUAAUUUAUCUUUUAUUUUUUUAAUCUCGCACUCACUUUGUAAUUACUCUAUCAAAAUUUUGAACAACUCAAUUUAAUAAAUUCGAUCCCACAAUUAACUUUUUCAACAUAAAAAAAAUCGAAUCAUUACAAUAUUAUAAGAAAAAAACUUUUAAGUAUAGGUGUAGUUAGGAGUCCAUGUUUUUUUAUUUAUUUUUUUUAUAUUAAUCUAGUUUGAAGAAAAAACAAAAUAAUAAAAAGUAGCAAAUUCUAAAAAUAUCAUUUCCUAUAAAAAAAAAGUUGUGAAAUUAAAUUAUUAUCUUGAAAGAUGUUUUGGCGAUAUUAUAAGAAGUAUAAAUCAUGUUUUAAAAUUAUUUUGAUUUAAAUUUCGUCACGUGUAGACCGUAUUGAUCUAUAAUAUGUUUAGUUUGUGCUUUGUUAUUUGUUGGAGUUUUAACCAAAUUUUUUUAGUAAGUGUAGACUAAACUGGUGAACGAAAUAUAUCAUUAGGUACUAAAUGAGUAAAACAUUUUAAAUACCAAAAUAAAAAAUAUAUAAUUCAAGAGCUCAAACAUGAAUAAAGGCUAAUAAAUUUUGUGAUAAUUUUCUCUCACUUACUAUAGGCAAAAAAUUUCAAAAAAGAAAUUAUUUGAUAUAUUAUUUGUCGAAACCACCCUUUUUAUUUAAAAUUUUUAUGUUUAAUGAAAAAUGGGAAUCGACCUUUUGAAAAUAAAAUAUAGAGUCGCCACCAAUCUUUUGUUUUGGUGUGAUCGGAUCACAUAAGAAUUUGGUUAUUUUAAUAAAACAUUUUUGGUUUACUAAAACGACGAUUUUGGUCUACAAACUUUUGAGAAAACGGGUUCAGAGUCGGUUAAGCAUGAGGAAGGAUUAGCACCCUCACUACGCCCAAAAUUGAUACCGAAUCGAUUAAAUGCUGUCCUUAUGUCUAAAAUUUAAAGAUAUUUUUUUGAAAUGUGGUUCUUUUUUGUAAGACUUGAGUAACCCGAGUUGGUUGCAAAAAAUCUUCUUGUUUUGACUUUCGAAAGCUUAUAAUUCGAAAAUUACAAAAGGGUGCCCAACUAUUUGGUCCAACGAAAAACCGAAAUCCAGCACAGUAGGGCGCGAUUCCUCGAAUUUCCAAACAUUGAACAUUGCCUCACCUUAGAAAACACGAGUGAAAUUUCGAAGAGAUAUUCGAUUAUUUUGAACAAACGGGAGAUUACAACCCAACACGAUAGGGCACUAUUCCCUGAAUUGCCAAACACUGGACAUUUCUUUCGUUUUAAAGGGUUUUUAGAAAACGUGAGUGAAAUUCCGAAGGAAUCUCCGAUUGUUUUGAACAAACGAAAAUGCGCAACCCAGCACGAUAGGGCACGAUUUUCGAAUCGCCAAACAUCUAAGAUCACCUUCGUUUUGGGAGGUUUUUUAAUAAACAUGAGUGAAAACCUAAAGGAAUAUCCGAUUGUUUUGAACAAACGAGAAAUCACAACCCAGCACGAUAGGAAAUGAUUCCCGAAUUAUCAAACACCGAGUAUUGGCUUCUUUUUAAAGGAUUUUUAGAAGAAAUGAGUGAAAUUUUGGAGGGAUAUUCGAUUAUUUUGAGCAAACGCGAAAUUGCAACCCAGCAUGUUAGGGCACGAUUCCGCGGAUUGUCAAAAUAUCAAAUCUCAUCUUCGUUUUAAAGAAUUUUAAAUGAAUAAUUAUAAAACUAGCUUAAAAUGUAUUAAUGCAUUUUUGAAAUGAGACGAAUUUAACCAAAAAAAUUUGGGUUUAAAAAAAAACCAUAUUUCAUGAACUAAGUGGAAAACGAUGAUAUGGGGGAAUAUGUGUACACACCAAAACACGACAACGGAAUAGUGAAGGCAAUACAAUUUACUUAACCAACUAACGAGAACUUAAAUGACUAAGCAUAACUAGUUUGGAAAUAUAACUCAAUUUCAACCAUGCAUGGAGAAUAAUUAACAUGACGAUAUGAAACAAAUGAAUAAAUAAUAUGCAACGAAAACAUACAUGGCAUAAUAAAAAUUAUUACUAUUAGAUGCACAAAACAAAAUGCAGAUCAAAUGAGCAAUAUGGUGUAAAACUAUUUUAAAACAAUGAUAAGUACAUGACACAUACUAUAUGAAUUGAUGAAUUGACAAGUAAAAAAAAAAUUUGUUAAUGGCAAGCUUAAUAAACACACGCAAUCAUUAGAAUAUAUAUAAUAUAAAAGAAUAAUAAUGAAGAUAUAUGACAAGAUAUAAUACACAAAAUAGAUUUAUAAAACAUAUGUACAUGUAAGUUUAUAAAAAAAAACAUGAGAUUAAUAAUGAGAUAUAUAUAAAUUUUUAAAAUAGUUUCAUAUAUACAUAAUUAUUAAAACAUAUAUUAUGGAAUAAAUAUUUUUAAUCAAAUAGCAUACAAAAUAUUGAGGAAUAUUAGCUAAAAAAUGACAAUUUUCAUAAAAAAUUUUAAAAUAUGUAUCAAAGAUGAAAAGAUUACAAAAAAAAAAUGUAAAAUAAAACAUAAUCUUAGAAACAUAAUCAAUUUACACAUUGCGCAGAUAUAUAUAACAUUAAAAGUAAUUAUUCGUAAAAGCAUGUAAUACAUACAAAAUUAACUUGAUUUUAUUGUAAGUUAUAUGAUAGAUUUAAAAGCACACCUAUAUAGAAAGAAAACCAUACGCGUAGAAUACGCGAGUUUAAUAAUGUAUAGAUUAAAUGUGGUAUCCACAAUGCAUAUACAUAUAAUGAUAAUAACUUAAAAGAUAUUACAUAGGAUUAUAUGAUACAAUACGAGAAUAAAUUUAAAAAGGAAUCAUGUGCGUAAAAUAAUAUAAGGUUGAUUAAUAUAUACAUGCAAUAAAAUUAAUUUUGAUACAAAGUACAUAUAUAUAUGUAGCGACGUAAAAAUUUUAGCUUAGCUUGGUCGCUAAUUGUGGCGAUUUAUUGAAAUUUUUUUUGAAAUUUGACGUUUGAUUUUUGAAAUAAAUAGGGAGUCACCACCGAUCCUUUUUCCUAGGUGUGAUCGGACACCUAUUAGAUCUUUUAUUAAAACAAAUAAAAGGCUGAGUUUAGGUCUACGUUAAAAUCCAGAGAAAAUUUAGGGUUCGGGAGUCGGUUACGCACGAGGAAGGUAUUGGCACCCUCGCGACGCCCAAAAUUGGUAUCUUAUUAAACACAUGUUGUCUUGAUUUUCAAAAAUACGAAUUCAAUUUGACAUUUAAGUGUGAUCCGAUUGAAGGAAAUGAGAAGUUGCAAGUUUUUUUGUUUUUAGAAGGACGUCCCGUUUUUAACACGAGCCGAUUAAUUUCACCCAACAUAGCAAUGAAAUCGAUGACUUAAUGUUAAAAUUGGUACAUUGCCUUAUUCUUAAAAUUAAAAUGUAAAAAGUUUUUAAAAUGAUAGUAAAAAAAAAUCCAAGAAUAUUAUUGUCAAAAAAUGCGAACAAUGAUGGGAAUAAUAAAAUAUAUAAAAUAUAAAAUAUCAAAAUAUUAGAAUAAUAAUAAUUAAUAUUGACAAAUAAAAAAUAAAAUAGAAAUAAAAAAGAUGUACAUAAUAUAUAUAUUAGAAAUAAUAAUGAUGUUUAAAAAAAAUACUAUUAAUAAUACUACAUCAAUAUGUACAUAUAUAAAAAAUAAAUACAUGAUAAUAUUAAAAAUAUGUACAUAAUAUAGUGUUAAAAAUACAUACAUAAUAUAGUUAAGAUAUAUACAUAAGAUAACAUGUAGAAAAAAAAUAUAUAAAUAAUAUAAUAUUAAAGAUAUAUAAAUAAAAUAGUAUAAAAUAUAUAUAUACGUAAUAUAAAAUUUAAAAUAUACCUAAUAUAUUAAAAGAAUAUAUAUAAUAUAAUAUUAAGAAAUAUAAUAAUAACAAAAAAAGAGAGGGAGAGGGUGGGUGAUUUUCGGCCACAAGGCCGGCCAUCGUCCGGUCGCCGGACCGCCGCCGGCGCCACCGUACACGGCAGCCGGACCUCAAAAAAACUUUUUCGGUAAAAAUGGGUAAGCUUCCUCCUUUUAUUUUUACUUUCGUAUAAAAGAAACAAAAUAAGAUUGAAAGGAAAACAAUAAGUAAACAAAGAACUUAAAAUGAGAAUAGACAAAGAAACCUCUUUUGCUUUGAUUUUUGAUUAAUCUCCAAAAAAACUAGCUUCUCCAAAAACUAGCCUUCACAAUAACUCUUCUCCUUGAUUACUUUAAAAAGAAACCUCUCCAAAAAUCCUUUACAAUAAUUUUCUCUCCCAAAAACUCUAAAAAAAAAAAAAAUCCCCCCCCAUAUACAAAAUAUGAGAAGGCUUAUAUAGCCAUUUACAAAAUAUUUUUUUAUUUUUUAUGUCUUCAUUUGUAGGUACAAGUGAUGGUGGAGAAGGUGUGGCUAGUGGAGUUGGUGGUGGAAAAAGAGUGGCUAGUGGAGUUGGUGGUGGAAAAGGUGUGGCUAGUGGAGUUGGUGGUGGAAAAAGAGUGGCUAGUGGAGUUAGUGGUGGAAAAGGUGUGGCUAGUGGAGUUGGUGGUGGAAAAGGAGUGGCUAGUUGAGAAAAGUUUAAGUUGUGGGCUAGGUUUUUUUUUAUUUUGAUUUGGGCUUAGGGUUUGGGCCAUUGGGGUUUUGAUGUAAAUUGGGCUUUGGGUAGUUAAGAUUUUGGGUUUUGGGUUUAAUUUUGGUGGGUUAGGUAAGGCUAAAUUGGGUUUUGAUGUAAAUGGGCUAAAAUUGGCCUACAACAGCUGCCCCUCUUUGCUUGUUAUCGUGUAACGAGAAUAGAGCAAAGAUAUAAAGAAAGGCCAAUUUUGCCCGGUCUUGCUAAAUAUGGACUUCUUUGGUGCUCUUCUCAUCCAAGUAGUCUCUUUCCAGUCCAUCGCAUCUUGUAGCUUUGGUUCAAUCCACUGCAAAUUCGGAGAUAUGCCUUAUAGCUUCAAUCUGUUCCAAUGUAAUUCAAUAUGCUCUUCUAUUGCUUUAGUGAGAUAAGGUUUUGGGUCUUCUCUUCUGCCACUUUAGAAAGGCAAGAUCUGAUAUCCUCGAUCAACUCCACUGCAACUUCAGGGAGACAAAAUCUGGUGUCUUCAAUCAGCUCUAAUAUUGAUUCUUUACUCGGCAUGUGAUCCUGAGCUCAACUCAUUUCUCGCAAUAUGAAUUGACUCUGUAAAACUAGACAUUAAAAACAGAAAUUGAAAAUAGCUCAGCACGUGAGCCAAGGCUCAACUCACCUCUCGCAAAAGUAGAUUUUGAAAAUACCUCGACAUGUAAACCCAAGGCUCAACUCACAUCUCGCAAUAUGAGUUGAUUUUUGAAAAGCAGAAAUUCAAAACGCCUCAGCGUGUGACCCGAGGCUCAACUCACCUCUCGCAAUAUGAGUUGAUUUUUUUUGAAAAGCAGAAAUUGAAAAUAGCUCAGCACGUGAGCAAAGGCUCAACUCACCUCUCACAAUAUGAGUUGAUUCUUUUGAAAAGCAGAAAUUGAAAAUAGCUCAGCACGUGAGCAAAGGCUCAACUCACUUCUCGUAAUAUGAGUUGAUUUUUGAAAAAUAAAAAUUAAAAACAGAGUUUGAAAGACAGAAUUUGAAAAUACCUCGGCAUGUGACUCGAGGCUCAACUCACCUCUCGCAAUAUAAGUUGAUAUUUUGAAAAGCAGAAAUUGGAAAAAAACAGAAAUUGAAAAUACCUCAGCGUGUCUUGAGGCUCAAUUCACCUCUCACAAUAUGAGUUGAUUUAUUUUUUUGAAAUUAAAACACAAAAAUCGACAAUUCCUCAGCGUGCCCCGAGGCUCAACUCACUUCUUGCAAUAUGAGUUGAUUUUUGAAAAAUAGAAAUUGAAAUUACCUCAGCAUGUCCUGAGGCUCAACUCACCUCUCGCAAUAUGAGUUGAUUUUGACAAACAGAAACAGAAAUUGAAAAUACCUCAGCACGUGAGCCGAGGCUCAACUCACUUCUUGCAAUAUGAAUUGAUUUUUUUGACAAUAGAAAUUGCAAUUACCUCAACAUGUCCCAAGGCUCAACUCACCUCCCGCAAUAUGAGUUGAUUUUUGAAAAACAUAAAUUGAAACAAAAAAAUUGACAAUACCUCAGCGUGCCCCGAGGCUCAACUCACCUCUCGCAAUAUGAGUUGAUUUUUGAAAAACAGAAAUUUAAAAAUACCUCAGCGUGUCCUGAAGCUCAACUCACCUCUCGCAAUAUGAGUUGAUUUUUUUUUACGAACAGAAAUUGAAAAACAAAAAUUGAAAAGACCUCAGCAUGUGAGUCGAGGCUCAACUCACUUCUCGCAAUAUGAGUUGAUUUUUGACAAACAGAAAUUGAAAUUACCUCAGCGUGUCCCGAGGCUCAACUCACCGCUCGCAAUAUGAGUUGAUUUUUUGAAAAAUAGAAAUUUAAAAAUACCUCAACGUGUCCUGAGGCUCAACUCACCUCUCGCAAUAUGAGUUGAUUUUUUUUUACGAACAGAAAUUGAAGAACAGAAAUUGAAAAGACCUCAGCAUGUGAGUCGAGGCUCAACUCACCUCUCGCAAUAUGAGUUAAUUUUUGACAAACAGAAAUUGAAAUUACCUCAGCGUGUCCCGAGGCUCAACUUACCUCUCGCAAUAUGAGUUGAUUUUUGACAAACAGAAAUUGAAAUUACCUCAGCGUGUCCUGAGGCUCAACUCACCUCUAGCAAUAUGAGUUGAUUUUGAAAAACAAAAAUUAAAAGUACCUCAACGUGUCUUGAGGCUCAACUCAUCUCUCGCAAUAUGAGUUGAUUUUCCUUGAAAAGCAUGAAUUAAAAACAUCAAAAUACCCAAAACCUGUCCUUUGGUAGAACUCGGGUGUCUUUUCCUUUGAUUCAGUGCGACUCUCAUUCAAGAUUUCUUGCUCUGCUGGAGUACCUGUAUAUGUUAUGUAUGAUGUUAUCAUGAUAUGCACAUGUUUGUCUUAAAUGAUUUUAUGCCUACAUGAUUAUGCAGUGCUCCUUAAGCAUGUUUGUCGUAUGUCCAUUUAGCCACGAUUGUUGAGGAUCUGUGUUCAUUGCUUUGAUUCUCAACUUUCUCUUCAGGCCUUAUACCUGCCUUCAAGCUUCACGAGUAAUCGACGUUCCUCAGAUAUCACUCUUCUGCCCCCGAUUGAACUUUGUUCUUACUUUGAGACUCUUGUGCUUAUCAAAUUUUCAUCCAGGUAAUGCUUAACAUUUAUCUUGUUUAGAGUAUGUCAUUUCUCCAUUUAUCAUGUAAAUAAACACAUAAUGAGAUGCAUGAAAAAGGUCAGGUAGGGAAAAAUGAUAUUUCAUAUUCAUCUAUUUCAAAUGUGGCAAACAAAGCAAGUUAACCAAUGAGAGUAAAAAAUGUCAAAAAGAAAGAAAGGAUCGUAUUCAACGGAUACAAAUACUUUAGAUAUUCGACACAUGAACUCUUCCACGUUCCUCAAUCAAGAAUAUUUUCGAGUCUGGCUCUUUGCGUAGAAGAUUUCGAGCUUUCAGAAAUGCUUCAAAUACUGUAGUCUCACUGUUUGACCCGCUGUUAAAACGCCACGCUCUUUAAGCCAGGUUUACCUCAUUAGGACGCCCUCUCAGGUUUUCAUCCUAAUCUUUUGUGCUAAUCAAGACGCCUUUUGCGGGUUUUCGCCUUGAUCCCUCUUUUUUUUUGGAUGCCCUUUUCGGGUUUUCAUCUCAAGCAUAAUAUUUCUUCACAGCAUCUGAGUUCACUGGAUUCGGUAACUUCUUUCCAUCCAUCUUGGUAAGGAUCAAAGCUCCUCCUGAAAAUUCCUUCUUUACGACGUAUGGUCCUUCCCAAUUUGGUGCCUAUUUUCCUCGCAGGUCCUUUUGUAUUGGGAGAAUCUUCCUCAGUACGAGUUCUCUUUCGUGGAAUUCUCUUGGCCAUACUUUCUUGUCAUGGGCCGCGAUCAUUCUCUUCUGGUACAUCUGCCCAUGACAAAUUGCUCUUAGACAUUUUUCUCCGAUGAGGUUCAACUGAUCAUAUCGAUCUCGAACCCAUUCUGCUUCUUCUAACUUUAAUUCCAUUAAGACUCGCAGGGAGAGGAUCUCAACCUCAAUAGGUAGCACAGCUUCCAUUCCGUAAGCCAGAGAGAAAGGAGUUGCUCCCGUAGAUGUUCGCACAGAUGUGCGAUAUGCAAACAAAGCAAAUGGAAGCUUCUCGUGCCAAUCUUUAUAUGUUUCAGUUAUUUUCCCAAUGAUCCUCUUAAUAUUUUUAUUGGCUGCUUCAACAGCCCCGUUCAUCUUUGGGCGAUAGGGCGAGGAGUUAUGAUGCUUUAUUUGGAACUGCUCCCACACUUCUUUCAUCAUCUUAUUGUUCAGAUUCAUGACAUUAUCUGAAAUGAUUCUUUCAGGCAAACCAUACCGGUAAAUGAUUUCCUUUUUCAAAAACCUGCAAACUGCAGUCCUCGUCCCAUUGGCAAACGAAGCGGCUUCUAUCCAUUUUGUGAAGUAAUCGAUGACCACAAAAACGAAUCGAUGUCCAUUUGAUUCUUUUGGAGAAAUUGGCCCUAUGACAUCCAUGCCCCACAUAGAAAAAGGCCACGGAGAAGUCAUGACAUGAAGGGGUGAAGGGGCUACAUGAAUUUUAUCGCUGUAGAUUUGACAUUUGUGGCAUUUUCUGGCAAAAUUGAUGCAGUCAUUUUCCAUUGUCAGCCAAUAAUAACCGAGUCUCAUGAUCUUUCUGGCCAUAUUGAAACCAUUGGCAUGCAUUCCGUAAAUUCCCUCAUAGACCUCUUCAAGUAUUUUUCUGGCUUCAACAUCAUCCACACAUCUCAAAAGCAUCUGAUCCUUUCCUCUUUUAUACAGGAUAUCCCCAUCAAGAACAAAUCCCGCUGCCAUUCUUCUAAUUGUUCUUUUAUCGUUCUCAUUCGCUUGUUUGGGAUACCUUUGAUUCUUGAUAUAUUCUAAGAUAUCAUGGAACCAAGGUCGUCCGUCUACUUUUUUCUCAAUGCUACAACAGUGUGCAGGGACCUCGUAUAUGCUCAUUUUGAGGGGCAUUAUUUCUACUUCUCUACUUGCUUUGAACAUUGAAGCCAAAGUGGCUAGGGCAUCAGCCAGUUGGUUCUCUUCUCGUGGGAAGUAAUGAAAAGUUAUUUCUUUAAAUUCCUUGAUCAAUCCAGCCACUAAAUCGCUGUACUUAAUCAAUUUUGAGUCCCUCACUUCCCGCUCUCCACAGAUUUGGUAAAUCACUAGGGCUGAGUCCCCGUACACCUCCAAGAUCUCGAUGUUUCGUUCGAUAGCUGCACGAAGCCCCAUGAUACAGGCCUCAUAUUCUGUGAUAUUAUUGGUACAGAAGAAGUUCAGUCUUGCAGUGAACGGAUAAUGAUUCCCGUCUGGUGAUACCAGGAUUGCUCCAAUUCCAUGCCCUAAAGCAUUUGACGCACCAUCAAAGCACAUCUUCCAUGACUUCUCUUUUGAUGACUCGGAUUCCAUUUCUGUGAUGCACAUUAAGUCUUCGUCUGGGAAAUCAAAUUUCAAGGGCUCAUAUUCCUCCGUCGUUCGAGUCGCUAAGAAAUCAGCUAUUGCGCUCCCUUUUAUCGACUUCUGACUUACAUAGGCAAUGUCAUAUUCUGAUAGGAGGAUCUGCCAUCGUGCCAUUCUUCCUGAGAGUGCCGGUGAUUCCAUCAUGUAUUUUAUUGGGUCUAGCUUUGAAAUUAGCCAUGUCGUGUGAUACAACAUAUAUUGUCUGAGUCUCCGAGCUACCCAAACCAGAGCGCAACAGUAUUUUUCAAUGGACGAAUACUUUGCCUCAUAUUCAAUGAACUUUUUACUGAGGUAGUAGAUCGCCUUUUCUUUCUUUCCUGACUCGUCGUGUUGCCCCAGUACGCAACCCAUUGAAUUUUCAAACACAGUUAAAUACAAUAUCAAUGGUCUUCCCGGAGUUGGUGGUACUAGCACUGGAGGACUAGACAAAUAUUGCUCUAUUUUAUCAAAGGCCACCUGGCAUUCCUCAUUCCAUUCUCCAGGGUUAUGUUUUCGAAGAAGUCGAAAGAUUGGGUCGCAUUGGUUGGUAAGCUGAGCGAUAAAUCGGGUGAUGUAAUUUAAUCUCCCUAAAAAUCCUCUAACUUCCUUUUGCAUGCGCGGAGACGGUAACUCUUGAAUGGCUUUUAUUUUAUCUGGAUCAACCUCGAUACCUCUUUCACUGACAAUGAAGCCUAGCAACUUCCCCGAGGUAGCCCCAAACGUAAAUUUGGCUGGAUUGAGCUUUAACUGGAACUUUCUCAGCCUGUCGAACAACUUCUUGAGAUUCACUACAUGCUCUUCUUCCCCUCGGGAUUUAGUAAUCAUAUCGUCGAUGUAGACCUCUAUUUCUUUAUGCAUCAUGUCAUAGAAUAACGUCACCAUAGCCCUUUGAUAUGUUGCCCCAGCAUUCUUUAACCCGAAUGGCAUCACCUUGUAGCAGAACGUUCCCCACAUUGUUAUGAAGGUAGUUUCUCCAUAUCCUCAGGGGCCAUCUUGAUCUGAUUAUACCCCGAGAAUCCAUCCAUGAAAGAAAAUAAUGAAUGUUUUGUUGUGUCGUCCACCAACGUAUCAAUAUGUGGCAAGGGAAAAUUAUCUUUUGGGCUUGCUCGAUUCAGGUCACUGUAAUCCACGCACAUUCGUACUUUGCCAUCUUUCUUUGGUACCGGGACUAUGUUAGCCACCCAUUCUGGAUAUUUGGAGGCUUGUAGGAAGCCAGCAUCAAAUUGCUUCUUGACUUCCUCUUUUAUUUUCAACAGCAUUUCGAGUCUCAUCCGUCUUAAUUUUUGCUGGAUAGGCUUGCAUUCUGGCUUUAAUGGGAGCUUGUGGACCACUAAAUCUUCAUAUAGCCCUGGCAUAUCCUGGUAUGACCAUGCAAAAACAUCUUUGUACUCGCGGAGCAGAGCGAUCAAAUUAUGCCUAGUGCUCUCUGAAAUAGAAGUCCCAAUUUUCACUUCUUGUUUCCUUUCUUCAGUGCCCAAGUUUAUUGUUUCCACAGAUUCUUCAUGAGGCAAAAUCUGUUUAUCCUCUUGUUCCACCAUUCUUAACAAUUCAGGAGAUGAGACAUAGUCUUCAGCAUUUUCUUCGGCUUCGAAUUCUCCUAAACAAACAGCCUUCUCAAAAUCGAUUUCAGGACUCGUAACGGGUUUGUUCAUGCCAUUGAUAUCUGAGCACCUGAAAGUUGAAUGGAAAAGGAAACUAUAGAGGGGCAUCCAAGUAUUGGAACCAACAAACGAAAUGUUUUGGCAUGGUAUGAGGCAAAUGUACAGAUAGGCUAUGAAAUGAGGAGAUGAUUAUGAAAUUAGUGAUAAUGCGAAAGAUCGUGAUAAAAUGCAUCUUCAUUGAUAUUCAUUUAAAUGAUAAAGAGUGAAUGCAAGCUCUUACAAAAGAGUUCUAUUAUAUCUAAGGACACAAUAGAGGGUUAAUGUUUGAGCAUUACUCUGAAGACUUAUAAACUACAAGAAGGUCCUCGGCAGUCCAAUUGUUCAACAUGAAACCAGGAGGACAAGGGUGUAUCCUCGAGACAUCUUUACUCACAUCAGCCCCUUUGUCAAUAACAUUUAUACUGACAUUUUGAAGACCCUUUUCAAUUAACCAUAGCGUGUUUCGUGGACCAUCUUGUCCAGGGUACAUCAUUCCCGCAGAUGUAAAUGUUUUUGACAAAGGAGGGUACUCUAUUGGUUCCCAUUCUGGUUCUCGGCCCAAAGUUCUUGCAAUCCUUCUUUCCUGAUCUUUUUUCCACUGUCUUCUUCUUUGACGCAUGUCAGGCUAGAACCCCAAACCGUAUCGGGCCCUGUGGUGCACUGGCUUUAAAGCCCUGACUAUUCUUUGCAGAUAUCUCCCUAAACCUCUUCUCGCUCGAGCUCCCUUUCCUACGGUCAAUUUGACACCUAUUCUAGUAUUUCUUGACAGUUUUGGCACCAGAAUUCUGUUUCUCUCAACAACAAAAGUGGCAUUGACGAAUUCAAGGGAUCGGAAGGAACAUUCUAAUGCAUCUUUGUUCACUUCCAAGUACGGUGCAUCGGCAGAGACGGAUGCGACAAUGUCUUCUUCUCCCUUGACAGUGACCAAACAACCGUCCAUGAUAAAUUUCACCUUUUGAUGGAGGGAUGAUGGGACUACUUCAGCAGAAUGGAUCCAGGGUCUUCCCAAAAGGCAGUUAUAAGAGGGUGUAAUGUCCAUGACUUGGAACUUGACAUCAUAAAUGUAAGGGCCCACUUCCAAAGGGAUUUCGAUCUUUCCCAUGACUUCGCGCCUCGUCCCGUCGAAUGCCCUUACCGUGGAAUGACAGGGCCUUAAGUAGGACAAAUCCAUCGGUAUUCUAGAAAGCGUGGCCAAUGGCAUAACAUUUAACACUGACCCAUUAUCGAUGAGUACGUUCGGUAUUAUGUAGCCCUUGCAGUGAGUCGUGAUAUGUAGCGCUUUCACCGAGCCUCUACCAUUUGGCGGUAUCUCAUCAUCACUAAAAGAGAUGAAAUUAUCUGCAUUUAGAUUAUUUACCCACCUAUCAAGCUUCUCAAUGGAUAUGUUGUUGGCCACAUAAGCUUGAUUUAACACCUUCAAUAAAGUAUUCCGGUGUGGCUCUGAAUUUAACAGUAGAGAUAAAACUGAGAUUCGUGCUGGCUGCUUACUCAAUUGUUCCACCAUACUAUACUCGCUGUGCUUGAUAAAUUUCAAGAAUUCUUGAGCUUCUUCCUCAUUCACAGGCUUUUUGGUUUCUUGCACGGGUGGAAUUUCUUGCUCGACUUCGACUUCGUGCAUCACUGCUUUUCCUUUCUGUUUCAAGUCACUGUUCUAUUUUAUCUCCUUCAAAUAACAUCUUCCACUACGAGUGAAAUGACCUACUUCCCCGACGCUUCCAGUUAUGGCUUUGGGUUUUUCAUCUUCAGGUGUGACGAUAUUAACGUCAUAUUUCCAUGGUACUGUUUUAUUGUCCUUGUAAGGGAAAGGAGACGGUACUUAAAUUAUCAUUUUUGAUUUCACCAGUUCCUUCCUUGCAUCGUAAUAAAUUACGAAUGGUCGAUCGGCGCUAUACGGACAACCUGACGAUUGAUUGUCAGAGGCACAUACUUCUUUCUCAUUGGCCCCUCCUUCAUUAAUGAUCUCAAUCUCCUUAUUAUCUAUCCGGUCUUGCAGUAACCUUUUAAAUUCCUCACAUGAUUGAAUGUCGUGCCCUACAAUUCCAUGAAAAUCAUAAAGAACCUGACAUUCUUUUCUGAGAUUAUCGCCGGGGCGACAGAGCAAUCCAUUCUUAACCAGUGCUUCUCAGAUUUUCUGCAGAGGCGUCCUUAUUUCUGAAACACAUCUUCUGACUUGCCAUUCAUCUUCUUUCCCCACUGUGCUUACAUUCCCUUCAGUAUGGUUAGGGAACGGGUUCCCAGUUACAUUACUGGUACUAUCGAAUCAUAGGAUACCCGCAUCAAUUAGUCCUUGAACUCUCCUCUUAAAGGCUAGGCAAUUUUCCGUGGAAUGUCCCUGGUUUCCCGCAUGGUAUUCACAACUAGCGUUUAGGUCGUACCAUUUCGGGUAUGGGGGCCUCAAGGGUGCCAUAUAAUGCGGGGAUAUCAAUUGCUUCUCCAAAAAUUUUGGGUACAGUUCCCCAUAUGACGCAGGAAUAGGGGUAAAUUGUAGUCUUUCGGAAUUGGGUUUUACUGGCCUCUGCUCAUUUUUGGGUUGACCUUGGGCGGGUAUUAUAUUUUGUGGGAAUGUGGUGGUUGGUCUCGGGUUACUUGUGGCGUAAACGGGGUAAGAAGAGUAAGGAGGCGGUGUUUGGUAGUAAGGGGUUUGAGGAGGGUAAUAGAAAUUCGGAGGUGGAUAAUUUCGAGGUCGAGGUUGGUUUGGAUAUGGGUUAGGGGCAUAACGGCUUCCCAUUCCCACCAUGUGGGUUUCUGGUUCUUUCUUCUUCAUGGGCGCUGCCCUUCUUGAACUUUCUUGACCUUCCAUACUACCGCUCUUGACAGCAUUCUCUAUAAGCUCACCGGAUAUUACAAUAUCCGCAAACUCCUUCGUGGCACUUCUCACUAGUUUGUAAUAAAACGGCGCCUUUAAGGUGUUGAUAAAGAGAACGGUUAUCUCCGUUUUUGUUAGUGGGGGUUCCACUUGGGCCGAGACGUCUCUCCAUCUCUGCACAUACUGUCUGAAGGUCUCUGAUGGUUUUUUCUCCAUCAUUUGCAAGGUCAUCCGGUCUGGCACCAUGUCUGAUACAUGCUUGUACUGCUCGCAGAAUGCAGACGCCAAGUCCUUCCAGGAUCGAAUCUUUUCUCUACUAAGUUGGUUGUACCACCGAAGAGCUGACCCUGUUAGCUAUCUUGAAAGCAAUGUAUGAGUAGCUUAUCCUCGUUCACAUAACCGGUCAUUUUUCGGCAAAACAUGACAAGAUGCGCCUUUGGACAUCUCGUGCCAUCGUAUUUUUCGAAAUCAGGCACCUUGAACUUCGAAGGCAGAACUAAAUCGGGCACCAAACUGAGCUCUUUGGCACUUAAUGCAGAGAAGGCUUCAGUACCCUCUAUUACUUUGAGUCUUUCCUCUAAGCUCCUAUACUUCUCUUGAGCCUCACAAUCGUCCGUUCUCAACCUGGCUACUUCCGCUGGAUCGUCCGAAUCUGGAAUAAUUGGAUUGGCAGGAUUAGCCUCAGAAUUUGAUAUGAAUAUUCCUUGCCCUAAAUGAGUAUAUGGCACCAGCCGUUGCUCUGGGUCUGUGGGUUCUCCUUGGGUGUACCCUCUUUGUGCUGCGUGGGCGUGUGGUGGAGUGAAUCCGGGGGGAUAGAGCGGGUCUUGAUUGUGAUUAGCUAUUGAUCGAGAUUCCUCAAUGUCAGGGCUCUGCAUGGGUCCCUUUCCUUUAACUAAAGCUGACAUCAUCUCCAUCAUCUUGGCCAUUUGAUCAUUCUGUUCAAGCGAUUCUUCUCUUGAUCUCACCAUUAAGUCUCUCGUCUCUUGCUGUGACCUAGCCAACUGCUCUUGCAAUUCCUUUUGAAUUCUCUCCAUCCUUUCAAUCCUUUCAUUGAAUUCGGCCUCCAUUACUCUAGUUUGUCGGCGCGUUCUAUACGAAUGACGUGGUUCCAGUCUUGUGGUAUUACAACUGCGAAUUAUAUAUUUUAUCUUCAGCGACCGAGUAUGGGAUAUGCAAUGUAUGAAUGAAUGCAUGAAUGAAUGCAUGAAUGUUAAAUGAAUGUCAGUCAUGAAUGAAUAUGCAAAAAUUUGGUGUUAAUUUCAAGAUAGCCCCUAUUUAGGCAUUUCCUUAAUCAAAGGAGUAUUACACAACGUUUCGGUCACUCUUAUAAUUGACUCCUCCAUUAGAAACCCGUUUUUGGCAACCAAUCUCUAAUCAACACCUUCCUAACAAGAUGCCUUCGAUGCAUGAUGAAAAAUAAAAAUACAGAUAAACGACCUUGGUUAGCGCAACACAUAUAAACAGAGAAAAACUGUGGAAAAUUUAACAAAUUAAGCUACUUGGUCCAGUAGACUCGAUUCCCUUGCUUAGAAAGCACAAAUGUAAAAGAAAUAGAAGGUAAGAUGUGCUUUUCCCGUGUACUUAUUUCGGUGACUACUAAACGAGUGGAGGUUCGGCAUGGCUCUAGUUGGGUGGCUCGUAUGGUUCACUAUAUGCGGUUUUGGUUCUAGACAGGUACUCGAAUUACUCGUACUAUCAUCUGCUAAGAUUAGCACGAAGCCUCGGUCAUAACCCAUCACAGGCUCACGAGUUCAAUUCGAGGGAUUACAUUUACUUAUGCUUAUGCGGAGGGACAAGUUAACUCACGAAAGCAUAAGUCAUAUGUAACCCGAAAGUAUUCACCAGCCUGUGCGGAGGGACGAGUUAACUCACGAAGGCAUAGCGUUUACUUUCACUUAAACGGACAGAGCCCGGAUAGAGAGCUUAUGUUAUGCAAAAUGCAAGUGCACGGUGUGUGGGAGAAACUUGCAAUCCUUCCAUUUAUUUUAAAACUACAAAACUAAAACGAAAGAUAAAACAAAUUAGGAGAUACGUAUGUAUGAUUUUUUUGAAAACAAAACUUAAGGAUCAUGAUUAAAUAUUAAUUUGAACAUGGAAAUUUGAAAAUUUUGACAACACGCGUUUAAUUCCAGACACGACUCUCAACAAGGCUGUCUCCAGUGGAGUCGCCAGCUGUAGCGACGUAAAAAUUUUAGCUUAGCUUGGUCGCUAAUUGUGGCGAUUUAUUGAAAUUUUUUUUGAAAUUUGACGUUUGAUUUUUGAAAUAAAUAGGGAGUCGCCACCGAUCCUUUUUCCUAGGUGUGAUCGGACACCUAUUAGAUCUUUUAUUAAAACAAAUAAAAGGCUGAGUUUAGGUCUACGUUAAAAUCCAGAGAAAAUUUAGGGUUCGGGAGUCGGUUACGCACGAGGAAGGUAUUGGCACCCUCGCGACGCCCAAAAUUGGUAUCUUAUUAAACACAUGUUGUCUUGAUUUUCAAAAAUACGAAUUCAAUUUGACAUUUAAGUGUGAUCCGAUUGAAGGAAAUGAGAAGUUGCAAGUUUUUUUGUUUUUUAGAAGGACGUCCCGUUUUUAACACGAGCCGAUUAAUUUCACCCAACAUAGCGAUGAAAUCGAUGACUUAAUGUUAAAAUUGGUACAUUGCCUUAUUCUUAAAAUUAAAAUGUAAAAAGUUUUUAAAAAUGAUAGUAAAAAAAAAUCCAAGAAUAUUAUUGUCAAAAAAUGCGAACAAUGAUGGGAAUAAUAAAAUAUAUAAAAUAUAAAAUAUUAAAAUAUCAAAAUAUUAGAAUAAUAAUAAUUAAUAUUGACAAAUAAAAAAUAAAAUAGAAAUAAAAAAGAUGUACAUAAUAUAUAUUAGAAAUAAUAAUGAUGUUUUAAAAAAAUACUAUUAAUAAUACUACAUCAAUAUGUACAUAUAUAAAAAAUAAAUACAUGAUAAUAUUAAAAAUAUGUACAUAAUAUAGUGUUAAAAAUACAUACAUAAUAUAGUUAAGAUAUAUACAUAAGAUAACAUGUAGAAAAAAAAAUAUAUAAAUAAUAUAAUAUUAAAGAUAUAUAAAUAAAAUAGUAUAAAAUAUAUAUAUACGUAAUAUAAAAUUUAAAAUAUACCUAAUAUAUUAAAAGAAUAUAUAUAAUAUAAUAUUAAGAAAUAUAAUAAUAACAAAAAAAAGAGAGGGAGAGGGUGGGUGAUUUUCGGCCACAAGGCCGGCCAUCGUCCGGUCGCCAGACCGCCGCCGGCGCCACCGUACACGGCAGCCGGACCUCAAAAAAACUUUUUCGGUAAAAAUGGAUAAGCUUCCUCCUUUUAUUUUUUACUUUCGUAUAAAAGAAACAAAAUAAGAUUGAAAGGAAAACAAUAAGUAAACAAAGAACUUAAAAUGAGAAUAGACAAAGAAACCUCUUUUGCUUUGAUUUUUGAUUAAUCUCCAAAAAAACUAGCUUCUCCAAAAACUAGCCUUCACAAUAACUCUUCUCCUUGAUUACUUUAAAAAGAAACCUCUCCAAAAAUCCUUUACAAUAACUUUCUCUCCCGAAAACUCUAAAAAAAAAAAUCCCCCCCAUAUACAAAAUAUGGGAAGGCUUAUAUAGCCAUUUACAAAAUAUUUUUUUAUUGUUUAUGUCUUCAUUUGUAGGUACAAGUGAUGGUGGAGAAGGUGUGGCUAGUGGAGUUGGUGGUGGAAAAAGAGUGGCUAGUGGAGUUGGUGGUGGAAAAGGUGUGGCUAGUGGAGUUGGUAGUGGAAAAAGAGUGGCUAGUGGAGUUAGUGGUGGAAAAGGUGUGGCUAGUGGAGUUGGUGGUGGAAAAGGAGUGGUUAGUUGAGAAAAGUUUAAGUUGUGGGCUAGGUUUUUUUUAUUUUGAUUUGGGCUUAGGGUCUGGGCCAUUGGGGUUUUGAUGUAAAUUGGGCUUUGGGUAGUUAAGAUUUUGGGUUUUGGGUUUAAUUUUGGUGGGUUAGGUAAGGCUAAAUUGGGUUUUGAUGUAAAUGGGCUAAAAUUGGCCUACAACAAUAUAUAUUAAUAUUUAAAAGAGAUUGUAUAAGAAAAUUAAAAGAGUUUAAUGCAAAAAGAAAUUCGAAGUGGUUAUUUCAUAAAACAAAACAAAAUCAUGCAUGUACAAAUGUAUAUGUAUACAACAAAUAUAAUAUAUUAAAAAACAAGAUAUUGACAUGAUAAAAAUCUUCAAAACAACUGUACAAAUAAGCAAAUAAGAAUAAAAGGUUACAAGCCAAAAGGAUUUAAUUAGAAUCGAUCCAAAACGAAAGGGAUAAUCUGAAAAUAAAGUAAUAAUAAUAAAAGGAUCAAUAUUCAAUGCGCGAAAACGCAUAGGGACUAAAACUGGCAAUAUACCAGAUACCAAAACGUUACGUUUAGGCGCGGAUUAGAUUGGAAACAAAUUUAAAUUACAAGGAAAAAAUUAAAAAAAAUAAAAAAGGAGCAGAUGGGCCGAUUUAAAUGCGGUGCAAAAGUGGAGGGAUUUAACUUGCAAAUAACCCCUCACCGCAAUGACGCGUGGAUCCUGAGAGUCAAAGAACCAGAUCGGGUCGGGCAGAAAGGGGGUGGCCUAGACGAUGUCGUUUGAGACCAUUUUUAUUGGUCUAAACGGUGUCGUUUCUACUACCAUAAAAAGGCUAAACCAUGCCUUCAUUCAGCCGAAACCCUAGAGUAACCCUGGCUUUUCUUUUUUUCCUUAGCUGAACCCUAAGUCACUGCCCCAAACUGACGAUUCUCAUCCCCCAGGCACGAAUUACUCACCCAAUCCCGAAGGAUGAUUUUUAGCCUCAAAAUCUCCUCCUGGCCUCGACUUUAACAAAGCAGAAGGAGAUCUACGGCGUACCCCCGGUAAGGUUUCGUUUCUUUUUUCUUUUAUGCACUCAAAACUUGAAAGAACGACUGAAGAUUCAGAAAUAAAUGAACUGGGCUAAGGAUAAAAGAAAAGCCUCAGAGAUUGGAAUCGGAAUCACCUUCGAAUGCUCGUUGCUUUUUUUGUAUAUUGCCUUUGUUUUUCAUUUUCUAUUGCUUCUGUAUGCGUAAAAAAGGGGAACCCCUAUACAAUAUAAAAUCCUCGGUUUUAUAGUCGAAUGUUCAAAAAAGAAAUAAAAGAAUACAAUUUUUGUUCUUUUUUCGUAUUGGCCAUUAUUGCUGCUGUCGUUUUGUCCGUUUCUUUGCAGGUACAAAGUGUGCGUUGGUGCUCGGGUACGGGGCUGUGUGUUGGCAUCGUACGGAGACUAUGCUGGCGCGGACGUGGCUGCUGAACGGUACAGAGCAUACGACGCUGGGGCUAGGCUCGUCUGCGGUUACGGCGCGAAAGUGAGGAGGAAGCUCUAGGGUUUCUUUUCUCAAAAUACUGGGCCUAACGGGCUAGUAAUUGAUAUUGUGCUGUAGGGCAUUGAUUAAUGGACUGUUUUGUUUAUUUGGGUUUUAUGUUUAAGUUUGGGCUAUUAGGUUUGGGUUUAAGUUUAGGCCAUUGGGUUUGGUUUUAGGAUAUUUGUAAAUGGACAUUUAUUUAAUUAUUGGGUUUUUUACUAUUAGGUUUGAGGUUAAUGGGCCGGGCAAAUUUGGCCCACUACAGUUGCCCCUCUUUGCUCAUUGUCGUGUAACGAGAAUAGAGCAAAGAUUAUAAAUGGGCCAAUUUUUCCAGGACCUGCUGAGUCUCGAUUUCUUUUGGCGCUUCUUUUCUUCAAGUAACUUCAAUAUGCCCCACUGCAACUUCAAGGAGACUCGGUUCACGUGUUUUUAUCCUGCUCUACUGCAACUUCAGAGAGAUGAGAAUUGUGACUUCGACCUGCUCCACUGCGACUUCAGGGAGACAAGAUCUUGCAAUUUUCGGCCUAUUGCCCUACUACUUAGGGGGUUAAGGCUUGUUUUCUUCGAUCUGCUCUACUGGAGACGAGAUCUGCAAUCUUCGGCCUACUCCGCUACAACCUUAGGGAGCUAGGAUAGUGGCUUGAAUCUUGCUUCACUGCAAUUUUAGGAAGGCUAGAUUCACCGUCUUUGAUCUGCUCUACUGCAACCUCAGGGAGACAAGAUCUAAAAUUUCAGCCUACUCCACUACAACUUUAAGGAGCUAGGUUGGUGGCUUAAAUCUGCUUCACUGCAACUUCAGGAAGCCAAGAUUCGCCAUCUUCGAUCUGCUUCACAGCAACUUCAGGGAAAUAAGAUCUAAAAUUUCAGCCUACUCCACUACAACUUUAGGGAGCUAGGUUGGUGGCUUAAAUCUGCUUCACUGCAACUUCAGGAAGCCAAGAUUCGCCGUCUUCGAUCUGCUUCACUGCAACUUCAGGGAAACAAGAUCUAAAAUUUUAGCCUACUCCACUACAACUUUAGAGAGCUAGGUUGGUGGCUUAAAUCUGCUUCACUGUAACUUCAGGAAGCCAAGAUUCACCGUCUUCGAUCUGCUUCACUACAACUUCAGGGAAACAAGAUCUAUAGGAUUCGCCAAUGUCACUACACUGUCUUCUAAAGACAUGAUUUGUAAAAUUGGUUUCCUGUAUCUGUGUAUGUCAAAUAAUUAGGAUGCUAUGAUCGAGAUGAAUUAAAUGUCUCUAACUAGAUAUGGUGUUUAUGUCAAAUAAUUAGAAUGUUAUGAUCGAAAUGAAUCAAGUGCUCCUAACUAAAUGAAUGAUUAUGAAUGUAGAAAUGUCAUGAGAGUAACUCCUUUUUAAACGCUUAAGCUAUCAUUGCUCAUAGUUCCUCCGGGUUCUAUCAUUGAUGUGCUAUCACGCCCUCUUGCUUAGUCGUUAUCUCUGACAGAAAAUUUGAAGAAAUAGCCAUAAUUUGGACUACUCUUUUUCCAAUGUUUUCCACUUUCGAGUCUGGUUAAUUCUAGAUAGUAGCCCUGUUUCAGGUCCUUGUACUAUUUAGAGAAUUUUCAAAAUAAUAUGCAUAACUUCUUUUAUUUGGAUAUUAUAAGUCCAAAAAAUCGUGAUUUCAACAAAAUGCUCAAAAGAGAUUAUCAUAAUGGACAAGAUAGAAUUCUAUUGAGUAAAACUCGAAGUGAAUACAUUAAACAGGAUAGCAAAUCUACUAAGGCGUAAAACUCAAAGUGAAUACAUUAAACAGGAUAGCAAAUCUAAUAAGGUACAAAAAUAAAAUGAGAAAAGAGGUGCCCUAGAUAUCGCCGCACGAGUUUCACUAUUCUGAUUUCUCAAAGGCUCUUUCGAACUAAAUGUGUGUUCAAGAGAUCCCUCGUAUUUUGUUGAUGCUCCAAGAUGUACCGUUCUUCCCUCUUGUUAAUUUUAGAAGGACAAGACUACUGCAUGCCCUAUACUCAAAAUUUGAGCUGCCCAUUUUUCGGGUUUUCAAAUCAAAAUUCCCUUUGGUCUCAAAGUGCCCUUUGCGGGUUUUCACUCUGGCCUCUCUUUCUUCAGGUAAAAUACUUCUUGACCGAAUCCGAGAGUACAGGAUUGGGAAAGUUUCUACCAUCCAUCUCGGCUAGAAUCAAUGCUCCUUUGGAGAAAGCUUUCUUCACCACGUAAGGCCCCUCCCAAUUAGGCAUCCAUUUUCCUCGAAAAUCCUUCUGCAUGGGAAGGAUCUUUUUCAAAACCAGGUCUCCCUCGUGGAAUUCUCUAGGACGAACCUUUUUGUCAUAUGCUCGCAUUAUUCGGUUUUGGUACAUCUGACCAUGAUGAAUAGGUCUUAGCCUCUUUUCUUCAAUCAAGUUCAAUUAAUCGUAUCGAGAUUGGAUUCAUUCUGCUUCAUCCAAUUUUAACUCUGACAAUAUUCGAAGGGACGGGAUCUCCGCUUCGAUUGGUAAAACCGCUUCCAUUCCGUAGACCAAAGAGAAAGGCGUUGCCCCAGUUGAGGUUCUGACUGAUGUUCGGUAAGCUAAGAGGGCGAAUGGUAACUUUUCAUGCCAAUCUUUGUAGGUCUCAGUCAUCUUCCCUACAAUCUUCUUAAUAUUUUUAUUGGCUGCUUCCACUGCCCCAUUCAUCUUCGGGCGAUAUGGUGACGAGUUAUGAUGUCUGAUCUUAAAUUGACUGUAGACUUCCGCUAUCGUACUGUUGUUCAAGUUUAAUGCGUUAUCAGAUAUGAUCCUCUCCGGCAUUCCAUAUCGACAUAUGAUCUCUUUUUUCAGGAACUUGCUCACUACUGACUUUGUAACACUAGCAUACGAAGCAGCUUUUACCCAUUUGGUGAAGUAGUCGAUAACCAUAAAGAUGAACUGAUGCCCGUUAAAAGCUUUCGGAGAUAUUGGUCUAAUCACAUCCAUACCCCACGUAGAGAAAGGCCAUGAGGAAACCAUGACAUGCAAUGGUGAAGGAGGCACAUGAUUUUUGUCUCCGUAGAUUUGGCACUUAUGGCAUCUUUUGGCGUAAUUGACACAGUCUCCCUCCAUAGUGGACCAAUAAUACCCGAAUCUUAUAAUUUGCCUGGCUAUUGUAAAGCCAUUAGCGUGUGUCCCGCAGACGCCUUCAUAGACUUCUUCCAAGAUUUUCUUAGCCUUUACAGCAUCUACGUAUCUUAAUAGCACUUGAUCAUUUCUUCUUUUGUAUAAGAUCUCCCCAUCUAAGACAUAGUCGAUGGCCAAUCUUCUCAGCGUCCUUUUGUCAUUCUCACUUGCCUGGUCUGGGUUUUCAUGAUUCUUCACGUAUUGCAAUAUAUCGUGAUACCAAGGGUGAUCAUCUUUUUCUUCAUCCUCUUCAAUAUUAUAACAGUGGGCUGGAGUUUCAUAAAUGCUCAUUCGGAUAGGUUUGACAUCUUCUUAUUUGUUCACCUUGAUCAUGGAAGCUAAGGUAGCCAAAGCAUCGGCCAUCUGAUUUUCAUCUCGUGAAAGGUAGCAGAAGGUAAUGUCGUCGAACUCUUUGACCAAUUCAAGGACCAGUUUUCGAUAAUUGAUCAAUUUGGGAUCUCUGGUCUCCCAUUCUCCUUUGAGUUGAUAAAUCACUGGGGCAGAAUCCCCAUACACCUCUAGCACUUUAAUCUUGCAUUCUAUAGUUGCACGGAUACCCAUGAUGCACGCUUCGUAUUCUGCCAUGUUAUUUGUACAAUCAAAAUCCAAUUUACUAGUGAAUGGAUAAUGAUCUCCGUUUGGGGAAACCAAGACUGCCCCGAUUCCAUUACCCACGGCAUUUGAUGCCCCAUCGAAGUUUAGUUUCCAAGAAAGUUCUUCCAGAGCACCUUCUUCAGUGGUAGCAACACACAUCAGGUUUUUGUUCGGGAAAUCAAAGUUCAAAGGCUCGUAGUCUUCCAAAGCUCUACUGGCCAGAAAAUCUGCUAUUGCACUGCCUUUUACCGCUUUCUGGUUUACAUAAAUUAUGUCGAAUUCAGAGAGCAGAAUCUGCCAUAGGGUCAUCCUUCCAUUCAAAGCGGUUGACUCCAUCAUGUACUUUCAGGGGUCGAGUUUUGAAAUGAGUCAAGUAGUAUGAUACAACAUAUACUGCCUCAACCUUCGAGUUGUCCAAAUUAGGGCACAACACAACUUCUCUAUCGGCGGGUACCUUGUCUCACAUUCCGUGAACUUUUUACUAAGAUAGUAAAUAGCUUUUUCUUUCCUUCCUGACUCAUCAUGCUGACCCAGUACGCAUCCAUGGAAUUCUCAAAUACUGCCAAAUAUAAUAUCAAUGGCCUAUCAGGGUCAGGUGGCGUUACCACCGGAGCAUUGGAUAAGUACUGUUUAACCUUAUCGAAAGCCCUUUAGCAUUCUUCAUCCUAUUCACCUGGGUUGUGUUUCUUGAGGAGGCAGAAAACAGGAUCACAUUUCUCGAUUAGUUGUGAAAUGAUCCGAGCGAUGUAAUUUAAUCUUCUUAGAAAGCCUCGAACCUCUUUCUAAGUACGUGGCGGAGAUAGCUCUUGUUUGGCUUUAAUGUUGUCUGGAUCGAUCUCGAUCCUUUUCUCACUAACCAUGAAUCCGAGUAGCUUUCCAGCCUUGGCCCCAAAAGUACAUUUGGCUGGGUUGAGUUUUAGCUGAAACUUCCUCAACUUCAAAAAAAAUUUUCUCAGGACUUGUAUGUGCUCUUUCUCUAUUCGAGAUUUUGCGAUCAUAUCAUCGACAUAAACCUCGAUUUCUUUAUGCAUCAUGUCGUGGAACAGGGUUACCAUGGCUCUUUGAUAAGUUACCCCCGCAUUCUUCAGUCCAAACGGUAUCAUUUUGUAGUAAAAUGUCCCCCACAUGGUUACAAAUGUGGUCUUCUCUAUGUCUUCAGGAUGCACCCUGAUCUGGUUAUAUCCGGAGAAACUGUCCAUGAAUGAAAACAAUGAGUGUCCUGCCGUGUUGUCCACUAGGGUGUCAAUAUGAGGUAGUGGAAAUUAUCCUUCGGGCUGGCUUUAUUCAAAUCUCUGUAGUCCACACACAUUCGCACUUUUCCAUCUUUCUUAGGGACGUAGACGAUGUUGGCUACCCAAUCUGAGUAUUUUACCACCUUCAGGAAUCCAGCGUCGAACUACUUUCGAACCUUUUCUUUUAUUUUUAGCAAGACAUCGGGCCUCAUUCUUUAGAGUUUUUGCUGAACUGGCUUGCAUUCUUCCUUUAUGGGGAGUCUAUGCACCACGAUAUCAGUGUUCAACCCGGGCAUAUCUUGGUAUGACCAUGCGAAGACAUCUUUGAAUUCUUGAAGUACUUCAAUGAGGUCUCGCUUCAUCUCUGUGGUGAUACAUGUUCUGAUCUUCACCUCUUGUCUUUCUCCUAAGCUCACAAUUUCUACUGAUUCUUUGUAAGGUAGUGUAACACCCCUCGCCCGCAUCCGACGUCGGGACGGGGUUCGAGGUGCUACCUGACUUUUACUAACACUUCCAUACUAAACAGGGCCAUGAAAUCUCAAAUAAUUAAAAACUUUUAUUUUCACAUACAAUUUGUCCCAUAUACGGGCUUACGAGGCCCAAAACAUACAUCCGGAGUGGUUCGGGACCCAACCGAGAACUCAUGAAAAACUUAGAAAAUCUCUUGCAUCAAGUCUUCAUACGCCCGUGUGGGUAUAGAGCAUACGCUCGUGUGCUAGGGACACGCCCGUGUCCCAAACCCGUGUCCAAAAACCUGGACAAAUACAAGGCUAUUUUCCAAGCCAUUUUGUCACACUCACAAUAGAUACACGCAUACUUAUACAAUAACAUACAACAUGGCAAAAUUAGGUACUUAAACAUUCCUAACAUGUCAUGAUUAUGGCAAUUUCACAUGCAAUAGAUAUCAUAGAUUUUACUCACAUCUUUACCACAUUCAUACUAUAAUCAUUAUAAACUCAUCACAUAAUACCAUAGCACAUGCAUGCAUGAUUAAAAUAGAUUUACAACCCCAUAAUCAAAAUAGGCCAACACAUAUGAUUAAAGCCAUAUCACAUACUCUAAUAUUUAAACUCCUAUACAUGCCAUAGGCUCAAAGUACUUGAAAUCACUACACCAAUAGCGUUAGCUUGACAGUGUGAUAAUAUCUCUGACGGCCUCCAACCCGAGCUAACUUGGAAACUCUAGAAAACAUGGGAAAGAAGAGGGGGGUAAGCUUUCGCUUAGUAAGUUCAUAUGAAAACAAUAAGCACUUAUUGACUUGUUUUAUCAAUGUUUACAACAUAUUCUCAAGUUCACUACAAGCUGUCUUUUUGAGCAACGGUCACUAAAUUAUUUAUAUCUGGAGCUAAAAAACUCCGAAUUAAGUUCCGUUAAUUUUCCCUGAUACUAGACUUAUUUUCCUUUCUUCCAUAAAAUUUUCAGAAUUUUUGGUUAAGCCAAAUAGUACAGUUUAUUCCUCAAAGUUACCCCUGAUUCACUAUCUGACAGUUCCGACCCUUCUGUACUAAAGUUCAAUUAUCUCAUAGUACAAGACUCGAAUAAUGUUCUCGUAUAUUUCUCUUGAAACUAGACUCAUAUGUCUACUUACUAAGCCAUUUAGUACAGUUUAUUAGUUAAAGUUUCCCCUGUUUCAGGGUAUGACUACUCUGACCCUUGUGCACUACAAACUAAAUUUCUCCCUGUACAGAAUUCCAAUGGCCAUGCCAUUUGUUUUCCUUAAAAAUAGACUCAAUAAGGAAUCCAUGCAUGUAAGUUAUGACUCUUAAUAAUUUUUGUACAAUUUAUGGUGAAUUUCUAAAGUCAGAACAGGGGAUCUCGAAUUCAUUCAGACCCUGUUUCACAAGAAUUCAAAUAUCACACAAUCUGGAAUUCUUUUUCUUCCCCUGUUUCUUUCAUGUGAAAAUAGCUCAUUAAGCUUUAAUCCCAUAUUUUAUUCUGCUCUAGCUCAUUUUCCACUAUUUUUAGUGUAUUUUCAAAGUUACACUACUGCAGUAACUCAAAUCUGUCAAGGCUAAAUUACUCAUUCAUGAUCAUUGUUCACAAAAUUAAUACAACAUCGUUUGUAUAAUCAUCACCGAGACAUUCAUAUCACAUUUUCAUUUACCAUCUUACCAUAUUGUUGUUAUGUCGAGUUUUCAACCCGAGGGUUAAGUACAUACCUGUUCAAAGUAUCCAUUUCACAACAUUUACCAAUACAUCCCUUUCAUCUCGAGUAUUCCUCCAUUUGAAUAGAAUUUUACCCGUUGAACACAUCAGAAUAUAAUUCAGAUACAUGGAAAGUUUGCACAUAAGUGCCACAUAUGGAGCCAAGCUACCAUGUAACCCGCCCAUAAGUGAACUCGGACUCAACUCAACGAGCUCGGGCGUUCGUAUUCAUAAGUGAACUCAGACUCAACUCAACGAGCUCGGAUGCCUAGUUACAUCUCACGAACUCGGACUCAACUCAACGAGUUCGAACAUUCGCAUCCAUAAGUGAACUCGGACUCAACUCAACGAGUUCAGAUGCUCAACCAUCCUAGUUGUAGCGACGUAAAAAAUUUUUUAGUUUCGCUUGGUCGCUAAUUGUGGCGAUUUAUUAAACAUUUGAAAACCAACUUUCGAUUUUAUUAACAAAGGGAGUCGCCACCGAUCCUUUUUUAUAGGUGUGAUCGGACACCUAAUAAAAUUAUUUUAAAACAAAAAGAAGGCCAAAUUUAGGUCUACAUGAAAGUCCAGAGAAAAAUUGGGGUUCGGGAGUCAGUUACGCGUGAGGAAGGUAUUAGCACCCUCGCGACGCCCAAAAUUGGUAUCUCAUAAACAUGUGUUGACUUGAUUUUCAAAAAUACGAGCUCAAUAUUAUAUUUAAUCGUGAUCCGAUUGAAAAAUGAGAAUUUUUAGUUUUCGAUUUUUUUUUAGAAAGGGUGUCCCGUUUUUUAACACAAGCCGACGAAUUUCACCCAACAUAGUGAUGAAAUCGAUGGCUUAAUAUUAAAUCGGUACAUUACCUUAUUUUUGAAAUUAAUUAAAACAUGAGAAAAAAUAUUCCUAAAGUGAGAAAUUAAAAAUAGAUAAAGGACGCAAAAAAAUGAUAUAUUAAUGAAAAAUAUUAACAUGGAAUACUAGAAUAUUAGAAUAACAAUAAUAAUGAUAUUUACAAAAUAAAAACAAAUCAUGUACUAAUAAUAAAAUAGGAAAAAUGAUAUAUUUGGUAAUAAUAAUAUAAAAUAAUAAUAUGUACAUAAAAAUACAUAUAUAUAUAUGCAUAUAAUAAAAGUAUGUAAUAAUAAUAAUAAUAUCUACAAUAAAAGAAAAUAUUAGGAAACGUACAUAAAAAAUAUAUACAUAAAAAAUUUACAACAAUAAUAUAAAAUAAUGAUAUGUGCAAAUAUAUAUACAUAUGUACAUAAAAUAUACACUAAUAUAAUAAUAGUUAUAAUAAUACUAGCAAUAGUAAUAAUUUGUAAUAAUAAUAUAUACACAUUAUGGUAUUUAAAAUAUAUAUAUAUGUAUAUAAUAGUAUUUAAGAAUAUAUACAUAAGAAAUAUAUAACUAAUGGCAUUAAAAAAUAUAUACAUAAUAUAUAUAAAAUACCUAAAAAAAAGAAGGGGGAAAGAAGAGAGAAUGGAGGGGGGAAAGGAAAUCCGGCCAAUGGGGGCCGAUCACCGGUCGAUCGUCGGUCGCCGCCCGUCGUCAGCCAUUGCCGGCCACCGCCCACGGUGGCCGAAAAAGGUAAAAAAAUUUUAACAAUAUAUGUAUAUAUAAAGAAAGAAAAAAAACAACACAAAAAAAAAGAAAAAAAAGAUUCGAAAGAAGAGGAAAAAAGAAAAAGAUGCAACCUUUUUAUUAAUGUUUCUUUUGUGUUCAAAAUUUGAAGGGAUUUUUGUGUUUUUUUUUUUCAAUCUUUGUAAAAUCUCUCCCCCUUUUUACAUGAUUUUUGAAUGGCUUUUUAUAGCCAUCUUUUACAUGAUUUUCUAUUAUUUCCUUUUCUAUUUUGUAGGUGGUGGUAGUAGACAAUGGAUAUCAAAAAUGGGAGGAAAAAUGAGGCAAGUGGGAAAGUGGCUAGGUGGCUAGGGUUUCUUAGUUUUUUUUGGGUUAGGUUUUUCUUUUUUCUUCUUUUUUUUUUCUUUUUGGUUAGGUUUUUUUGGGGGGGGCUUAAUGGGCCUUUGAAUUGGGUUUAAUAUUUGGGUUUUGUAAUGGGUUUGGGUAGAUGUAAAUGGGUCAUGGGUUAAGGGUUUUAGUGGGUUUAGAGGCUUGGUUGGGUUUUGAUGAAAUCGGGCCCGGGCAAUUUGGGCUUCUACAGCUGCCCCUCUUUGCUCAUUGUCGUGCAACGAUAAUAGAGCAAAGACUUUCAAGGAAGACCAAAUUUGCCCGGUCUUGCUAGGUCUUGACUUGCUUUGGAACUCUUUUUGUUUAGUUAGUCCCUUUUUAGUCCACCGCAUCUUGUAGCUUUGGUUCACUCCACUGCAUCUUAUGAUAUACGCCUUGUAGCUUCAAUCUAUUCCAAUGUAACUUCAAGGAUAUGAAAUUUAUGGCUUCGAUCUACUUCACUGUAACUUCAGAAAGGUGAGAUCUACAACUUCAAUCUUCUCUUCUAUCGCUUCAGUGUUUGUGGUCUUUUCUUCUGCGACUUUAGAAAGGCAAGAUCUGAUGCCCCCGAUCAACUCUACUGCAACUUUAAGGAGACAGAAUCUGACGUCUUCAAUCAGCUUCAAUCUUUAUUCUCUACUCGGCAUAUGAUCCUCUCGCAAUAUGAGUUGAUUUUUGAAACUUAUCUUGAAAAGCAGAUUUUGAAAAUACCUCGACAUGUGACUCGAGACUCAACUCACCUCUCGCAGAAAUUAAAAAGCUCAACUCACCUUUCGCAAUAUAAAUUGAAAAAAAUACCACAGUGUGUGAUCUGAAGCUCAACUCACCUCUCGCAAUAUGAGUUGAUUUUUUUUUGAAAGACAGAAAUUGAAAAUACCUCAGCAUGUGAACUGAGGCUCAACUCACCUCUGACAAUAUAAGUUGAGUUUUUUGAAAACAGAAAUUGAAAAUACCUCAACGUUUCUUGAGGCUCAACUCAUUUCUCGCAAUAUGAGUUGAAUUUUGAAAACAGAAAUUGAAAUUACCUCAGCGUGUCCCGAGGCUCAACUCAUCUCUUGCAAUAUGAGUUGAUUUUUUUUUUGACAACAGAAAUUGAAAUUACCUCAGCGUGUCCUGAGGCUCAACUCACCUCUCGUAAUAUGAGUUGAUUUUUUUUAAAAGGCAGAAAUUGAAAAACAGAAAUUGAAAAUACCUCGGCGUGUGACCUAAGGCUCAACCCGCCUCUUGCAAUACGAGUUGAUUUUUUUUUGAAAGACAGAAAUUGAAAAUACCUCAGCAUGUGAACCGAGACUCAACUCACCUCUCGCAAUAUAAGUUGAUUUUUUUUUAAAACAGAAAUUGAAAAUACCUCAAUGUGUCUUAAGGCUCAACUCAUUUCUUGCAAUAUGAGUUGAAUUUUGAAAACAGAAAUUGAAAUUACCUCAACGUGUCUUGAGGCGCAACUCAUUUCUCGCAAUAUGAGUUGAAUUUUGAAAACAGAAAUUGAAAUUACCUCAGCGUGUCCCGAGGCUCAACUCACUUCUCGCAAUAUGAGUUGAAUUUUGAAAAUAGAAAUUGAAAUUACCUCAACGUGUCUUGAGGCUCAACUCAUUUCUCGCAAUAUGAGUUGAAUUUUGAAAACAGAAAUUGAAAUUACCUCAGCGUGUCCCGAGGCUCAACUCACUUCUCGCAAUAUGAGUUUUGAAAACAGAAAUUGAAAUUACCUCAGCGUGUCCCGAGGCUCAACUCACCUCUCGCAAUAUGAGUUGAUUUUUUUGAAAGACAAAAAUUGAAAAUACCUCAGCAUGUCUUGAGGCUCAACUCACUUCUCGCAAUAUGAGUUGAAUUUUGAAAACAGAAAUUGAAAUUACCUCAGCGUGUCCCGAGGCUCGACUCACCUCUCGCAAUAUGAGUUGAUUUUUUUUGAAAGACAAAAAUUGAAAAUACCUCAGCAUGUCUUGAGGCUCAACUCAUUUCUCGCAAUAUGAGUUGAAUUUUGAAAUAAAACAUCAGAAUACCAGAACAUGUCAUCUGGUGGAACUCAUGUGUCUUUUCAGCUAUCAUCACAUCUUCUUGCUCUACUGGAGUACCUGUAUAUGUCAUGCAUGAUGUUAUCAUGAUAUGCAUAUGUUUUUCGUAAAUGAUUUUAUGCCUACAUGAUUAUGCUAUGUAUCUUAGGCAUGUUUGUCGUAUGCCCUUUUUCAUCACUAUUUUCGUGAUGAUCUGUAUUCAUUACUUCGGCUCCUGACUUUCUCUUUAGGCCCUGUACCCGUCCUCAAGUUUCACGAGUAAUCAAUGUUUCUCAAAUAUCACUCUUUUGCCCCUAGUUGAGCUUUGUCCCUGCGUUGAGACUCUUGUACUUAUCAAAUUCUUACCCGGGUAAUGCUUAACAUUUCUUUCGUUUAGAGUAUGUCAUUUCACUAUUUAUCAUGUAAAUGAAUCACAUAAUGAGAUGCGUGAAAAUGGUCAGGUAGAGACAAAAGGAUACCUCACAUUUAUUCAUUUCAAAAGUAGCAAACAAAGAAAGUUAACCAAUGAUAGUAAAAGAGUGUUAUAAAGAGAAAAGGGAUUGCAUUCAACGAAUACAAAUGCUCUAGAUAUUCAAUGCAUGAACUCUUCCACGUUCCUCAAUCAAGAAUCUUUUCGAGCAUGGCUUCUUGUGUAAAAGAUUCUGAGCUUUCAGAAAUGCUUCAAAUACGGUAGUCUCACUAUUUGACCCACCGUUCAAAAUGCCUUGUUCUUUAAGCCCGGGUUUGCUUCAUUAGAAUGCCCUUUCGGGUUUUCAUCCUAAUCUUUUGUGUUUAAUCAAAACGCCCUUUUCGGGUUUUCACCUUGAUCACCCUUUUUUUCUUUUUUUUAUAUGCUCUUUUUGGGUUUUCAUCUUGGAUUCCUUUUUCAAGCAUAAUAUUUCUUUACAGCAUCUGAAUUCACUGGACUCGGUAACUCUUUCCCAUCCAUCUCGGUGAGGAUCAAAGCUCCGCCCGAAAAUGCCUUCUUUACGAUGUAUGGACCUUCCCAAUUUGGCGUCCAUUUUCCUUGAAAAUCUUUUUGUAUUGGGAGAAUCUUCCUCAGCACGAGUUCUCCUUCAUGGAAUUCUCUUGGUCGUACCUUCUUGUCAUGGGCUGCGAUCAUUCUCUUCUGGUACAUCUGUCCAUGGCAAACUGCCUGCAGACGUUUUUCUUCAAUAAGGUUUAACUGGUCAUAUCGAGCUCGAACCCAUUCUGCUUCUUCUAGUUUUGAUUCCAUUAAGACUCGUAGAGAGGGGAUCUCAACUUCGAUGGGUAGCACAGCUUCCAUUCCAUAGACCAGAGAGAAAGGAGUUGCUCCCGUAGAUGUCCGCACAGAUGUACGAUAUGCAUACAAAGCAAAUGGUAGCUUCUCGUGCCAGUCUUUAUAUGUCUCGGUCAUUUUCCCAAUAAUCUUUUUAAUAUUCUUAUUGGCUACUUCAACAACUCCGUUCAUCUUUGGGCGAUAGGGUGAGGAGUUAUGAUGUUUUAUUUGGAAUUGCUCACACACUUCCUUCAUCAUCUUGUUAUUCAGAUUCAUGGCGUUAUCUGAAAUGAUUCUUUCAGGCAAACCAUGUCGACAAAUGAUUUCCUUCUUCAAAAACCUACAAACUGCAGUCUUGGUCACAUUGGCAAACGAAGCGGCUUUUAUCCAUUUUGUGAAGUAAUCAAUGACCAUAAAAAUAAAUCGGUGUCCAUUAGAAGCUUUUGGAGAAAUUGGCCCUAUAACAUCCAUGCCCCACAUAGAAAAAGGCCACGGAGAAGUCAUGACGUGAAGGGGCAAAUGGGCUGCAUGAAUUUUAUCACCAUAAAUUUGACAUUUGUGGCAUUUUCGUGCGAAAUUAAUGUAGUCGCUUUCCAUUGUCAGCCAGUAAUAUCCGAGUCUCAUAAUCUUCUUGGCCAUAGUGAAACCAUUGGCAUGCGUUUCGCAAAUUCCCUCAUGGACCUCUUCAAGUAUUUUUCUGGCUUCAACAUCAUCCACACAUCUCAAAAGCAUCUGAUCUUUUCCUCUUUUGUACAGGAUGUCCCCAUCAAGAACGAAUCCUGCUGCCAUUCUUCUGAUUGUUCUUUUGUCGUUCUCGUUUGCUUGUUCGGGAUAAUUUUGAUUCUUGAUAUAUUCUAAGACAUCAUGGAACCAUAGCCGUCCAUCUGUCUCUUUCUCGAUGCUGAAACAAUGUGCAGGGGCUUCAUAUAUGCUCAUUUGAAGAGGCAUUAUUUCUGUUUCCUAGUUUGCUUUGAACAUUGAAGCCAAAGUGGCCAAGGCAUCAGCCAAUUGGUUUUCUUCUCAUGGGAGGUAAUUAAAAGUUAUUUCUUCAAAUUCUUUAAUCAACUCUGCCACUAGAUCUCUGUAUUUAACCAGUUUUGAGUCUCUCACUUCCCAAUCUCCACGGAUUUGGUAAAUCACCAAGGCUGAGUCUCCGUAUACCUCUAAAACUUCGAUGUUUCGUUCAAUAGCUGCACGGAGUCCCAUGAUACAUGCCUCAUAUUCCACUAUGUUAUUGGUACAGAAGAAAUUCAGCCUGGCAGUGAGUGGGUAAUGAUUCCCUUCUGGCGAUAAUAAGACUGCUCCAAUCCCAUGCCCCAAUGCGUUCGAUGCACCAUCAAAGCUCAUCUUCCAUGACUUCUCUUUUGGUGACUCGUAUUCUUUUUCCGUAAUGCACAUCAAGUCUUCAUCUGGGAAAUCAAAUCUCAAUGGCUCGUAAUCCUCUGUUGUUCGAGUUGCUAAGAAGUCAGCUAUUGCGCUCCCUUUUAUCGACUUCUGACUUACAUAGGCAAUGUCAUAUUCCGAAAGGAGGAUCUGCCACCGUGCCAUUCUUCCUGAUAGUGCCGGCGAUCCAUCAUGUAUUUUAUUGGGUCCAGCUUUGAAAUUAGCCAUGUCGUGUGAUACAACAUAUAUUGUCUGAGUCUCCGAGCUACUUUGCCUCAUAUUCAGUGAACUUUUUACUGAGGUAGUAGAUCGCCUUUUCUUUCUUCCCUGACUCGUCGUGUUGCCCCAGUACGCAACCCAUUGAAUUUUCAAACACGGUCAAAUACAAUAUCAAUGGUCUCCCCGGAGUUGCCGGUACUAGCACUGGGGGACUAGACAAAUAUUGCUUUAUCUUAUCAAAGGGCACCUGACAUUCCUCAUUCCAAUUUCCUGGGUUAUGUUUUCGAAGAAGCCGAAAGAUUGGGUCGCAUUGGUUGGUAAGUUGAGCGAUGAAUCGGGAGAUGUAGUUUAAUCUCCCUAAAAAUCCUUUAACUUCCUUUUGCGUGCGUGGAGGUGGCAACUCUUGAAUGGCUUUUACUUUAUCUGGAUCAACCUCGAUACCUCUUUCACUGACAAUGACGCCUAGCAACUUCCCCGAGGUAGCCUCAAACGUACAUUUGGCUGGAUUAAGCUUUAGCUGAAACUUUCUCAGCCUUUCGAACAACUCCUUGAGGUUCACUACAUGCUCUUCUUCUCCUCGAGAUUUAGCAAUCAUAUCAUCGACGUAGACUUCUAUUUAUUUAUGCAUCAUGUCAUGGAAUAAUGUCACCAUAGCCCUCUGAUAUGUUGCCCCAGCAUUCUUUAACCCAAAAGGCAUUACCUUGUAGUAGAAUGUUCCCCACAUCGUUAUGAAGGUAGUUUUCUCCAUAUCUUCCGGGGCCAUUUUGAUCUGAUUGUACCCCGAGAAUCCAUCCAUGAAGGAAAACAAUGAAUGUUUUGCCGUGUUAUCCACCAACGUAUCAAUGUGUGGUAAAGGAAAAUUAUCUUUAGGACUUGCUCAAUUCAGGUCACGAUAAUCCAUGCACAUUCGUACUUUGCCGUCUUUCUUUGGUACCGGGACUAUGUUAGCCACCCAUUCUGGAUAUUUGGAGGCUUGUAGGAAGCCAGCAUAAAAUUGCUUCUUGACUUCCUCUUUUAUCUUCAACAACAUCUCAGGCCUCAUUCGUCUUAGCUUUUGUUGAAUAGGCUUGCAUUCUGGCUUUAAUAAGAGCUUAUGGACCGCUACAUCUUCAUCCAAUCCUGGCAUGUACUGAUAUGACCAUGCGAAUACAUCUUUGUAUUCGCGAAGCAAAGCAAUCAAAUUAUGCCUGGUGCCCCCUGAAAUAGAAGUCCCAAUCUUCACUUCUUGCCUCCUUUCUUCAGUUCCCAGAUUUAUUGUUUCAACAGAUUCUUGAUGAGGCAAAAUCUGUUUAUCCUCUUGUUCCACCAUUCUUAGCAAAUCAAGAGACGAGACAUAGUCUUCAGCGUUUUCUUCGGCUUCGAAUUCUCCUAAACAAAUAGCCUUCUCAAAAUCGAUUUCAGGACUCGUAACGGGUUUGUUCAUGCUGUUGACAUCUGAGCACCUGAAAGUUGAAUGGAAAAGGGAACUAUAGAGGGGCAUCCAAGUAUUGAAACCAACAAACGAAAUGUUAUGGCAUGGGAUGAGGCAAAUGUAAGGAUUGGCUAUGAAAUGAGAAAAUGAUUAUGAAAUUAGUGAUAAUGUGAAAGAUUAUGAGGAAAUGCAUCUUCAUUGACAUUCAUUUGAAUGAUAAAGAGCGAAUGCAGGCUCUUACAAAAGAAUUCUAUUAUAUCUAAGGACAUAACAGAAUGUUAAUGUUUGAGUAUUACUCUGAAGACUUAUAAACUAUAAGAAGAUCCUCGGCAGUCCAAUUGUUCAACUUGAAACCUAGGGGACAAAGGCGUAUCCUUGAGACGUCUUUACUUGCGUUAGCUUCUUUGUCAAUGACAUUUAUACUGACAUUCUGAAGACCCCUUUCAAUUAAUAACAGCAUGCUUUGUAUAUUAUCCUGUCUGGGGUAUAUCAUUCCUGCAGAUGUAAAUGUUUUUGACAAAUGAGGGUACGUUAUGGGCCCCCAUUCUAUUUCUCGGCCCAAAGUUCUCACAAUCCUUCUCUCCUGAUCCUUCUUCCACUGUUUUCUUCUUUGACGCAUGUCCGGCUGGAACCUCAAACUGUAUCGGGCCUUGUGGUGCACUGGCUUUAGGGCCUUGACUAUUCCUUGCAGGUACCUUCCCAAACCUUUCCUUGCUCGGGCUCCCUUUCCUACAGUCAACUUGACACCCAUCUUGGUAUUUCUCGACAGUUUUGGCUCGGGAAUUUUGUUUCCCUCAGCGAAAAAUGUGGCAUUGACAAAUUCAAGAGAUCGGAAGGAACAUUCCAUAGCAUCUUUACUCACUUCUAUAUAUGGUGCGUCGGCAGAAAUAGAUGCUACAAUGUCUUCUUCUCCCUCGACAGUGACCAAACAGCCAUCCAUGAUGAAUUUCGCCUUUUGAUGAAGGGAUGAUGGGACCGCUCCAGCAGAAUGAAUCCAAGGUCUUCCCACGAGACAAUUGUAUGAUGGUGUAAUGUCCAUGACUUGAAACUCAACAUCGUAUAUAUAGGGACCCACUUCUAAAGGAAUCUCAAUUUUUCCAUAACUUCUCGUCUUGUUCCAUCGAAUGCCCUUACUGUAGAAUGGCAAGGCUUUAGAUAGGACAAAUCCAUCGGAAUCCUGGAAAGUGUGGCUAAAAGCAUAACAUUGAGUGCCGAUCCAUUGUUGAUGAGCACAUUCGGUAUUAUAUAGCCCUUACAACGGGUUGUGAUAUGCAAUGUUUUCACUGAGCCUCUACCAUUGGGCAGUAUUUCAUCAUCAUUAAAAGAAAUAAAAUUAUCCGCAUUCAAGUUGUUCACCCACCUAUCCAGUUUUUCAACGGAUACAUUAUUUGCCACAUAAGCUUGAUUUAACACUUUCAGCAGAGCGUUCCAGUGUGGCUCUGAAUUCAACAGCAAAGAUAAUACCGAGAUUCGCGCUGGCUGCUUAGUCAAUUGUUCUACCACGUUGUACUCACUGUGCUUGAUAAAUUUUAAAAAUUCCUGUGCUUCUUCCUCGUCCACAGGCUUUUUAGCUUCUUGUUCAGGCACAAUUUCAUACUCAGCUUCAGUCACAUGCAUCGGUGCUUUUCCUUUCUGUUUCAAGUCACUGUUCUUUACAGAUUCAACCUCUUUUGAAUAACAUCUUCCGCUACGAGUGAAAUGACCUACUUCCCCAACGCUUCCAGUCAUGGCUUUGGGUUUUUCAUCUUCAGGUGUGACGAUAUUAACGUCAUAUUUCCAUGGUACUGCUUUAUUGUCCUUGUAGGGGAAAGGAGAUGGUACCUCGAUUAUCACUUUUGGUUUCACUGGUUCCUUCUUCGCGUCAUAAUAAAUUAUUAACGGUCGAUCGGCGCUAUACGGACAACCUGACGAUUGAUUGUCGGAGGUACAUACUUCUUUCUCAUUAGCCUCUUCGCCUUUAUAAAAAAUCCCAAUCUCCUUAUUGUCCAUCAUAUUUUGCAGUAAUCUCUUGAACUCUUCGCAGGAUUGAAUAUCGUGCCCCUCAAUACUAUGGAAUUCGCAAAAACUUGGAUCUUUUGUAUUCCUUCCCUCGAAUACUCUGUUAAGAUGACAAAGCGAACCCUUUUCAACUAGCACCUCCCAAAUUUUCUGCAGAGGUGUUCUUAUUUCAGAAACCCGUCUUCUACUUUGUCGUUUGUCCUCCUCUCCUACUGCGCUCACAUUCCUUUGGGCGUGGUUUGGGAAUGGGUUCCUGGAUGUACUGCCAGUGCCAUCAAAUCGCAGAAUACCCGCAUCGAUAAGUCCUUGAACUCUCCUUUUGAAGGCCAGGCAGUUUUUUGUAGAGUGCCCCUGGUUCCCGACAUGGUAUACACAACUAGCAUUUGGAUCGUACCAUUUCGGGUAUGGAGGUUUAAGGGGUGCCAUGUAAUGGGAGAUAUUAAUUGCUUCUCCAGAAGUUUUAGGUACAGUUCCCCGUACGACACAGGAAUAGGGGUGAAUUGCUGUCUCUCGGGAUUGGGCCUUGCUGGUCUUGGUUCAUUUUUAGGUUGGCUUUGAGCGGGUAUAGUGUUUUGUAGGAAUGAGGUGAUGGGUCUUUGGUUGUUCGUGGCGUAAACGAGAUAGGAAGGAGGUGGUGCUUGGUAGUAAGGGUUUUGAGGGGGAUAAUAGAAAUUUGGAGGUGGAUAAUUUCGUGGUCGGGGUUGGUUCGGAUAUGGAUUAGAGGCAUAACGGCUUCCCAUUCCCACCAUGUGGGCUUCUGGUUCUUUCUUCUUCAUAGAUGUUGCCCUUUUUGAACCUUCUGAGCCUUUCAUUCUACCGCUCUUGACGGCAUUCUCUAUGAGCUCACCAGAUAUUACAAUAUCCGCAAACUCUUUCGUGGCACUUCCCACUAAUUUGUCAUAAAAUAGCGCAUUUAAGAUGUUGAUAAAGAGAACGGUUAUCUCCGUUUUUGUUAGUGGGGGUUCCACUUGGGCCGAGACGUCUUUCCAUCUCUGCGCAUACUUUCUGAAGGUUUCUGAUGGCUUUUUCUCCAUCAUUUCCAAGGUCAUCCGGUCUGGAACCAUAUCCGACACAUGCUUGUACUGCUCGCAAAAUACUGACGCCAAGUCCUUCCAGGAUCGCAUCUUUUCUCUACUGAGUUGGUUGUACCACCGAAGAGCUGACCCUGUUAGACUAUCUUGAAAGCAAUGUAUAAGUAGCUUAUCCUCGUUCACAUAACCGGUCAUUUUUCGACAGAACAUGAUGAGAUGUGCUUUUGGGCACCUUGUCCCAUCAUACUUUUCAAAAUCAGGCGCCUUGAAUUUCGGAGGCAAGAUUAGAUCAGGUACCAAACUGAGUUCUUUGGCACCUAGUGCGGAGAAGACUUCAGUGCCUUCUAUUGCUUUGAGUCUUUCCUCUAGACUUCUAUAUUUUGCAUCAUGAUUAUCCAAUUUCAACUUGGCUACCUCUGCUGGGUCGUCCAGAUCUGGAACUAGUGGAUCAGCAGGGCUUGCCCUUGGGUUCGACACGAAUAUUCCUUGCCCCAGAUUAGUGGGUGGAGCAGGUGGCAUAGGUCGUUGUUCCAAGACUGUGAGUUCCCCUUGAGUAUACCCUCUUUGUGUUGUAUAUGCGGGUGGUGGAGUGAAUCCCGGGGGAUAGAGUGGAUCCUGAUCGUGGUGAAUUCUUGACUGAGGUUCCAUAACAUAGGGGUUCUGCACGGGUCCUUUUCCUUUGACCAAAUUUGUCAUCAUCUCCAUCAUUUUGGCCAUCUGAUCUCUUUGCUCCAGUGAUUCCUCUCGAGAUCUCACCAUUAGGUCUCUCGUUUCUUGUUGCGAUUUGGCCAGUUGCUCUUGUAAUUCCUUUUGAGCCCUUUCCAUCCUUUCAAUUCUCUCAUUGAAUUCAGCCUCCAUUACUCUAGCUUGUCGACGCGUUUUAUACGGAUGACGUGGUUCCAGUCUUGUGGUAUUACAACUGUGAAUUAUAUAUUUUAUCUUCAACGACCGAGUAUGGGAUAUGCAAUGUAUGAAUGAAUGCAUGAAUGAAUGCAUGAAUGUCAAAUGAAUGUCAGUCAUGAAUGAAUAUGCAAAAAUUUGGUGUUAAUUUCAAGAUAGCCCCUAUUUAGGCAUUUCCUUAAUCAAAGGAGUAUUACACAACGUUUCGGUCACUCGUAUAAUUGACUCCUCCAUUAGAAACCCGUUUUUGGCAACCAAUCUCUAAUCAACACCUUCCUAACAAGAUGCCUUCGAUGCAUGAUGAAAAAUAAAAAUACAGACAAACGACAUUGGUUAGCGCAACACAUAUAAACAGAGAAAAAUUGUGGAAAAUCUAACAAAUUAAGCUACUGGGUCCAGUGGACUCGAUUCCCUUGCUUAGAAAGCACAAAUGUAAAAGAAAUAGAAGGUAAGAUGUGCUUUUCCCGUGUACUUAUUUCGGUGACUACUAAACGAGCGGAGGUUCGGCAUGGCUCUAGUUGGGUGGCUCGUAUGGUUCACUAUAUGCGAUUUUGGUUCUAGACAGGUACUCGAAUUGCUCAUACUAUCAUCUGCUAAGAUUAGCACGAAGCCUCGGUCAUAACCCAUCACAGGCUCAGGAGUUCAAUUCGAGGGAUUACAUUUACUUAUGCCAUGCGGAGGGACAAGUUAACUCACGAAAGCAUAAGUCAUAUGUAACCCGAAAGUAUUCACUAGCCUGUGCGGAGGGACGAGUUAACUCACGAAGGCAUAGCGUUUACUUUCACUUAAACGGACAGAGCCCGGGUAGAGAGCUUAUGCUAUGCAAAAUGCAAGUGCACGGUGUGUGGGAGAAACUUGCAAUCCUUCCAUUUAUUUUAAAACUACAAAACUAAAACGAAAGAUAAAAACAAAUUAGGAGAUACGUAUGUAUGAUUUUUUCGAAAACAAAACUUAAAGAUCAUGAUUAAAUAUUAAUUUGAACACGGAAAUUUGAAAAUUUUGACAACACGCGUUUAAUUCAACUCGACUCUCAAAAAUGGAGGUCCCCAGUGGAGUCGCCAGCUGUAGCGACGUAAAAAAAUUUUUAGUUUCGCUUGGUCGCUAAUUGUGGCGAUUUAUUAAACAUUUGAAAACUAACUUUCGAUUUUAUUAACAAAGGGAGUCGCCACAGAUCCUUUUUUAUAGGUGUGAUCGGACACCUAAUAAAAUUAUUUUAAAACAAAAAGAAGGCCAAAUUUAGGUCUACAUGAAAGUCCAGAGAAAAAUUGGGGUUCGGGAGUCAGUUACGCGUGAGGAAGGUAUUAACACCCUCGCGACGCCCAAAAUUGGUAUCUCAUAAACAUGUGUUGACUUGAUUUUCAAAAAUACGAGUUCAAUAUAAUAUUUAAUCGUGAUCCGAUUGAAAAAUGAGAAUUUUUAGUUUUCGAUUUUUUUUUUAAAAAGGGUGUCCCGUUUUUUAACACAAGCCGACGAAUUUCACCCAACAUAGCAAUGAAAUCGAUGGCUUAAUAUUAAAUCGGUACAUUGCCUUAUUUUUGAAAUUAAUUAAAACAUGAGAAAAAAUAUUCCGAAAGUGAGAAAUUAAAAAUAGAUAAAGGACGCAAAAAAAUGAUAUCAUUAAUGAAAAAUAUUAACAUGGAAUACUAGAAUAUUAGAAUAACAAUAAUAAUGAUAUUUACAAAAUAAAAACAAAUCAUGUACUAAUAAUAAAAUAGGAAAAAUGAUAUAUUUGGUAAUAAUAAUAUAAAAUAAUAAUAUGUACAUAAAAAUACAUAUAUAUAUAUGAAUAUAAUAAAAGUAUGUAAUAAUAAUAAUAUCUACAAUAAAAGAAAAUAUUAGGAAACGUACAUAAAAAAUAUAUACAUAAAAGUAUAUAAUAAAAGUAUGUAAUAAUAAUAAUGAUUUUUGAAUAGCUUUUUAUAGCCAUCUUUUACAUGAUUUUCUAUUAUUUCUUUUUCUAUUUUGUAGGUGGCGGUGGUAGACAAUGGAUAUCAAAAAUGGGAGGAAAAAUGGGGCAAGUGGGAAAGUGGCUAGGUGGCUAGGGUUUCUUUGUUUUUUUUGGGUUAUGUUUUUCUUUUUUCUUCUUUUUUUUUCUUUUUAGUUAGGUUUUUUUUGGGGGGGGCUUAAUGGGCUUUUGAAUUGGGUUUAAUAUUUGGGUUUUGUAAUGGGUUUGGGUAGAUGUAAAUGGGUCAUGAGUUAAGGGUUUUAGUGGGUUUAGAGGUUUGGUUGGGUUUUGAUGAAAUCGGGCCCGGGCAAUUUGGGCUUCUACACUAGUGACAUGUCACUUGUAUCCUAAUCUAUUCCUAAGGUUCAAACGGGAUUUUCCUCGAACACAUAUCCUUGCCAUCUUCCGUAAAAUACCGAAACCAAUACUCGGUAGCACUUUAUAUUUAACAGAUAAUACACAUAACUUGCAUUUUAUUCGAAAAUAACCACAAAGCAUAUAUUUCAUGAUAAAAAUCAGCAUAUCAUAUAUUUAACAUCAAUAACUUAAAAAUAACAAUUAUGCUACAUUAUUUACACAUGAACUUACCUCGAUACCACAAAGGUGAAAAAAAAACGUAAUUAUCCCUUAAUCGAUUUCUUUCCGUUCUAGGUCCAAAUCUCGAUUUUCAUCAUCUAAAACAUCACAUUCAACUUAUUAAAAUAAUGUACUGAUCAAAUUAGUCCAUUGACACACUUGGGCAAUUUUUACAAUUUUGCCCCUAUAUUUUGCCAAAACUACCAAAUUACCCCUAGGCUCGUAAAAUAAUUUUUAUCACAUUUCUUUACUUCUUGAGUCUAGAUGAACCAUUUUCAUAACUAUAGCAACUCAUAAUUUCAACUAUUUCACACAUUUACAACUCAUUUUACAACUUAGCAAUCUAGCCCUUUUUAAGGUGUUUUCAUGCAAUUUCUUUCACAAAAGUUGUUUAUUAGACAACUAGGACUCAUAAUCUUCCAUAAAAAUACAGUAAACAACACAUUUACUCUCAUGGAAAAACCCUAGACUCUUCAUCAUUUUGCAAAAUAGACCACUCAUGAAAGCUCAUGCUUUAGGGGUUCCAAAAAUGUAAAAAUCAUCAAGCAAUGACAUUAAAAUCACUUACAAGCAAGGGAAAUAUGUUGCUGAAAUUUUUCAGCUUCAAAGCCCUUUCUUUGCUACAUAUUUCGGUGAAGGAUAAGAGAAAAAUGAUAGCUUUUUCUUUUUGAUUUGUUAAUAAUAAAACUAGUCAAAAUUGGUGACCAAAUUUCACCUAAUUUUGACUUUUCAACAAUUUUGUCUCCCAUGGCCGGCCAUCACACUUUAAAUGGAGUAAUUUCACUUUAAAUACCCCCAAUUUAAGAUACAAGACAAUUUAACACCUUUAGGUAUUAAAACACAACUUUUACCCUUUACGCGAUUUAGUCCUUUUUUGAAAUUGGACUAGAAAUUGCUAAAAUUAACUUACCAAAAUUUACAUGCACUUAUAAAAUUAUAUUAUAACACAUAAAAUAAUACUAAAAAUAUUUUCUCUAGCCUCAAAAUAGUGGUCCCAAAACCACUGUUUCGACUAGGCCCAAAAUCAGGCUGUUACAGGUAGGAUUUUUUUUCGUCUCAUUCCACCAUCCUCAACAAAUCAAGAGACAGGUUACAGCCUUGGUCAUCCUCAAAAUCGUGAGAAUCCUCCAUACACACUUCUCGCUCAAAAGGAAAUUCUGAGUCAUUAGCAGUGUCACUCGUAUCAUUGAUAUCUGGGGACCUGUUAUGGGGAUGAAGGCAGAUACAAGGAAUCAAAAGAAUUCAAAAAUAUUUAUCUGUAUGGUAUGAUUAUGAAUGACGAAUGAAAUAAUAUUUAGAAGAAUGUUUAAAGAAUAAAGGAAUCCGAAAAUAAUCGUUUGUAUGUUUGUGAGUGAAAUUUAAAGAAUGAGAGAACAUCUGCUCAAAAUGAUAAUAACCGUGCAUUUUAUUGAAAUAAUGUUUUUAAACAUCAGCCUAUUUCACAAAAGAUUCUUAUUACUCCUAGGCCUAGAGCAAUAAGUGUGUUUUGGACAUUACUUUGAAUCCGUUCUAAAAACUACAGGAAUCUCUUCCGCAGUCCAGUUGUCCAGAACACUUCCAGGUGUGUAGGGGCAAAUGCCCGACAAAUUUUCUCUUCCCGUCUCCUCUUCGUAUGUGGCGUUGAUGUCUAAAUUUUCCAGCCUUUCUUUUAUGGCUCCCUUCAUUGGCGUGCCUCUCUCGGGAUGAAUAAUUCCCCCGGACACAAACGUUUUCGAUAUAUGGGGGAAUAUCAUUGGCUCCUAUUUGAUUUCCCCCCUUCCCUCCCGUUAACCGUGCUCUCCUUCUUUCUUGCUUCUUUUCCAGCUCCUUUCUCCUUUGUCUCGUAUCCGGCCUAAAUCCUAAGUCGAAGCUAUCUCUCUUGUCCUUCAGCAUUGGUGUUUCAAUCCUUCCUUGUAGAUGUCUCCCAAGUCCUCUUCCGGGUAGGGCCCCCUUUCCAAUCGUCAACUGUAGGCUCAUCCUCGUGGUUUUGGACAAUUUUGGCACCAGAAUCUUGCUUCCUUCGGCGAUAAAGGUCGCAUUAACAAAUUCCAAAGAUCGAAAUGAACAUUCGAUUGCUUCAUCAUCCGUCUCCAAAUAAGGCGCAUUAUUGCUCACAGUUGCAAUGAUAUCAUCUUCAGCAUUGAUCGUUAUCAACCUCCCCUCUGAUACCAGCUUUAACUUUUGAUGCAAUGAGGAAGGCACUGCCCCAGCUGAAUGUAUCCAGGGCCUCCCCAAUAAGCAAUUAUAUGAGGGCUUGAUAUCCAUUACUAGGAAAUCCACCUCAUAUGUGUGUGGCCCGAUUUGCAGAGGUACCUCGAUUCUUCCCAUCACCCUUCUCUCUGUACCGUCAAAUGCUUUCACUAUAUUCUGGCACUCCUUCAUGUGAGAGCUGUCUACAGGUAAUCUGUUAAGUGUAGUCAAGGGCAAGACAUUCAAGGCCGAACCAUUGUCAAUCAGUACGCCUGGCAGCGUAUACCCUUUACAGCGCGUGGUGAUAUGCAAAGCUUUAGUCGACCCCAUGCCCCCGGGUGGUAUCUCAUUGUCAUUGAAAAAGAUAUAGUUGUCAGCACUUAUGUUGCUAACCAAACGGUCUAGCUUGUUAACGGAGAUAUCGUUGGCAACAUAUGUCUCAUUCAAGACCUUCAUCAAUGCGCUGCUAUGAACUUUCGAGCUUAGAAGUAAGCCCAGCACCAAGAUGCGAGCCGGUUGUUUACGUAGCUGUUCCACCACACUGUAUUCGCUAUGUUUUAGGAAUUUUAAAAACUCGUUGGCCUCUUCCUCGUUAACUGGCUCGUUAACAGAUUUGGUCAUUUUAUCAUUCAUUUCCUCGACCACUGGGGUUUUUCCUUUUAUGGGUUGUGCCUCCUCAUUUGCUAUAUCGUAACGUCUUCCGUUAUGUGUAUAGGAGCCCCUGUCUUGACCCUCUUUUGAAGCAUCCACCAGGCUUUCCUUUCCCGAAAUUGUCACGUUAUAAUCAUAAUUCCAUGUGACCUUUUUGCUGUCUUUGUAGGGGAAGACUGCAGGUCUUUGGAUUAUGACCUUCAGUGGCAUUUGUACUCCAGCUUCAUUAUUUUUAGGUCUCGAUGUGAUAACCACGGGAUAGUUAGCUGUUUGAUUCUGUGCCGUCGAUUUUCCCUCCGACGCACAUAUAUCUCCCUCUAUGGGGUUCUUAGCUUCUUGAUAAAACUCUAUUUCUUUAUUAUCUAUCAUGUUUUGCACGAGGGCCUUAAAUUCCAUACAAUCUUGGAUUUCAUGCCUCACCUCGUCAUGAAACUCGCAGUAGUUUCUCCCUUCUUCUGAUACUUCCCUUGAAUCCGACACGAUCAACCCUCUCUUAACCAUCUCCUUCCACACCCGUCUCAACGGGGUCCUGACUUCCGCAACCUCACACUUAAUCUUCUUGUUUUUGCCUUCGCUUAUCCCAUUCACCCCUUGGUCGGUAUGAUUAGGGAGAAGAUUUCCUGCUACAUUGGGUACGGUCAAACCUCACGAUCUCCAUCUUAAUGAGUCUUUCGACUACUUUCUUGAACGCAGUGCAAUUUUCGAUUGAGUGCCCGGUAAUUUUCGCAUGGUAUUCACAUUGGGCGUUUGUGUCAUACCAUUUGGGAUACGGGGGCUGCAAUAGCUUCAGGUAAAACGGAGACACCACAUGAGCGUUGAACAGGUUUCGGUAAAGCUCCCUAUACGUCAUGGGUAUAGGAGUAAAUUGUGGCAUUUCUGUGUUCUCCCUCGCGUUGGAUUCUUGUCUUACGGAGCUACGUUAAUUGGUGGCUACCGUCUUUGGCUGAUUUACGGUAAGUGACUUGGACUGACCCUUGUUGAAUGUGCUCGUAUUGUUCACUUCUUAUCUCUUUUCUUCGGGGCCGACUUCCUGGUACUCUCUCCUAAUUCUAUCUUACCGCUUCUAAUAGUAUUUUCGAUCAUUUCCCCUAUCAUCACUAUGUCAGUGAAGCUCUUGGUGGCGCUUCCCAACAUAUGAGUGAUAAAAGGGGCCUUCAAUGUGUUAAUAAAGAGCAUCGUCGUUUCCUUUUCUAGAAGUGGUGGCUGAACUUGUAUGGCCACCUCUCUCCAUCUUUGUGCAUACUGUCUGAAGCUUUCAUUUGAUUUCUUCUCCAUAUUCUGGAGAGUGAUUCUGUCGGGGGUCAUGUCCGUCACAUGAUUGUAUUGCUUCAUAAAUGCCUGAGCCAGGUCCUUCCACAAGUUAAUUUUAGAGCGGCUUAAUUGGUUGUACCACUUAGACGCCACCCCGACCAGGCUAUCUUGAAAGCAGUGGAUUAAUAGUUGGUCAUUGUUAACGUACCCCGUCAUUCGCCUACAGAACAUAGUGAUGUGAGCUUCAGGGCAGCUUGUUCCAUUGUAUUUCUCGAAUUUGGGCAUUUUGAAUUUAGGGGGAAGGACUAAAUCUGGGACUAGACUCAGGUCCUUGGCAUCAAUCCCUUGAUGAUGAUCCGCGCUUUCCAUGGCUUUGAAUUUCUCCUCGAGCCAUCUGCACCGUUCUUCCAAUUGUUUUUUGUGAAUCUAUCCUUGCCUUUUCUUCGUCAGCAACUUCAUCCAAAUCGGGAACGGGCGGAUAGUUCAGGUUGUUGACAAAGUUAAAGCCUGAACCGAUUUGAAAGUUCAUCGGUAUUGAAGCUCUGGCUUGAACCUGCUAGGGCAUGAUUGUGACAGAUGGUUUGGUGGAUUAAUCUCUGGCUUCAGCGGUACUUGUGUCAGAGUGAAGCCAAUGGGGUAUUGAGGAUCUUCAUUAGUUUCUUCAACUUUAUCCAUGGGGCCCUUUCCCUUAUCCGUUCCUCCCAAUAGCAAUUGGGAUAACUGACUCAUCAUUUCCCUUUGGGAUUCCAUCAUUUGUUCCUUCAUCUCUCGCUGAAUCUUGGCUAGCUGCUCUUGCAUCUGAAACUGCAUCUGAAACUACAGUUUUACAGUGAAGCCUCUAAUUUUUCUAUUAUUCUUUUCAUUUCUUCUAUCUUGCUCAAGCUUGCCCUUAAUUCUAUUGCGGUGUUGCGGUUUCGGUACUGAUGCAGAGAUUUCUCGAGUUCUGCCACUCUAGCUCUUAAUUCACCUCGCUCAUUUCUACUUUCCGACAGACUUUUCUCUAAAUCCUUGUUUCGUGCUUGAGCUUCUCAGAAUUUCUUUUCCCACUGGUCGGCAUUGGUUUUUUUUCUCUGAUUUCAUAGCGCCAUUGUUCGGAAGUCUUGCCUAACCCCGCAGUCCUCAUAAAUAGGCGCAGCAUCUUAUAGUCCGUCUUCAAGCUGUCUAGAUCUGCUUCAGCCUUGGUUUUCCCUUUUCUCCACUUUUCAGCCUCUGACCUCUGGACAUCAGCGUCUAAUCUUAAGUGCAUCUUUUGCUCCUCCAAUUGUUCGAUCUUCUUCCCAAGCUCCAAACUCUUCUUCUUGAAAUCUUGCCUUAUAAUCUCCAAUUCUGACGGGGCGACUUGUAAUUGUUCCCCCAUAGGUCAAGCAUUCUCCAAGCUUGGCCUAGAAACGUUAUCAUUAACCCUAUUCUUAAACUAUCCGUCAUACUCGGGUGUUACCAUGGAACCGACGGCCAACCUUUUCAUCCAACAAGUUUACUUCUAAACAUCCGAUAGCUCCCGAACUUUCUUCUUAUAGUGAGCACCUUUAAAAGAGAAUUCACUCUGAGCAAGUCCAUAAGUCGUGGGUACAAACUACCUCGAUUUAUAUUGUCCCAAGGCUAGCAAUAGAGUAUACCUGGUAGCUCCCCAAAUUCCUAACAACGGCACCCAAUCAAAGUUACCGCAUCGGUACAUGAUCUCAUCAGGAACCAUCCAAUAAGCUCUCCACUUGAUAUCCCCCUCCUUGAGGUUUUGAGGAAUUUUCAUCCACUUCUCCUCCGAGAUAUCCUCUGUCCUUUGUAUAGCUGCCUCCUCUUUCAGUGGGGAGUAACCUUCAGAAAAGAUCUGAUAAGAAACCUUGUCUACCUUUCAAAAGUGCCCAUGAAACCAUACUAUCAGUAAUUGUGCACAUCCAAUAAACCGCCAUUCGCCUGUCUUCCGACAUGAGCUCAAAGAUCUGAACGUUUCUGCCAAUAUCACUGGUACUGGUGUAAUUCCCUUCUCAAGGCAUUCAAAUAAGUCAACGACUGCCUCUUCUACGUGCCUCAACAUCUUAGGGAAAAUUACCAAUCCGUAGAUACUUAAUGCGAAGAUAUCGACCCUCUUUCUUUCAUCCGGAUGCGUCAAAAUCAAGUCUCGCAAAUUCUUCCAAGGGAUACAUUUACUAUCUCCUUUUUGCUGAAUCCGAGCAGUGACCCAAGGCUCGCUCAUCCCAGAAAUGCUCAUCAAUUUCUUCACAAAAGUCUGACUACUAAAAACCCGGGCAUAAGUCUUCCGGACCUGAAUUUUUAAACACCUGAGCAGUGUAGUGUAUUCCUCUAUGGUAGGUACUAAAUCCACUUCUCCAAAAGUGAAACACUUGUAAGCAGAAUUCCAAAACUGAACUAUAACCCGGAAUAGAUGCUUGUCCACUCUAAUGUCUAGCAAGUAGGAUAUAUCACCAUAGCUUAGGUAAAAGAACUGCUUGAUCCCUUUAUCCCAACUAGCCCAAAUGUCUCUAAACUCUUGCAGCUCAUUCUGUGCUACAUUGACGCGAGUGAAAUCCUGCAACUCGGAGAUAUAUCCUUCUGCCAAGCUAUCCCCUCUCUCUGAUUGUAGCUUCUCUGACCAUGCACAAACGACCGCAUUAUCCUCGACUUUACUAAGAAAUUCAUUCUCCAUGUCAAACUUUCUAAUUUAAUAAUUGAAUAUAGAUCAACACCUCCUUUAGUAUACAAUGUCAUGCAAAAUACAAUCAAAACAAAACACAGGUUAGUAUCAGAUAAUAGCGGUAAAAUGCAAGCACAUAAAUUACAACGUAUAUAUGGGUAAGUACUAAGGCUCGACGCGGCUCCACCCAAGGAUAGCUCCUAAGGUUCAUUAUAUGUGGUUCGGUUCUAGAGAUAAGGUACCUGAACCAGCGGAUUCCUCAAUCCUCACCCAUUAUAGGCUCAUAUAGAUUGAGUUUGGUUCAGGGGGAUACAUUUCCCUAUGACCAUACGGAGAUGAAAAUCUCACGAAAUCAUAGGUACAGAUGUAUCCCGGAAGCAAUCCAUUAGCCUAUGCGGAGGUGAAAACCUCACGAAAGCGUAGUUUCUUACUCCCACUUAGAAGGUGUGACCACAGCGGUCAUGCAAUGGAAUGUAGUACUAUUCUAUGAGAUCCGAACCAUAACAACCAUACAAACGAAUGCAAUCAUGAUUUUUAAAACAAGUUUUCGAUUUUUGACAGAAGGAUAGCAAAUAAUCGAUUUUAUGGCUAGACUUUCUUAAAGAGUCCCCAGUGGAGUCGCCAAGCUGUCGAAACCACCUUUUUAUUUAAAAUUUUUAUGUUUAAUGAAAAACGAGAAUCGACCUUUUGAAAAUAAAACAUGGAGUCGCCACCGAUCUUUUGUUUUGGUGUGAUCGGAUCACAUAAGAAUUUGGUUAUUUUAAUAAAACAUUUUUGGUUUACUAAAAUGACGAUUUUGGUCUACAAACUUUUGAGAAAAUGGGUUAGGGAGUCGGUUACGCAUGAGUAAGGAUUAGUACCCUCACUACGCCCAAAAUUGGUACCAAAUCGAUUAAAUAUUGUCCUUAUGUCUAAAAUUUAAAGAUGUUUUUUUGAAAUGUGGUUCUUUUUUUUAAGACUUGAGUAACCCGAGUUGGUUGCAAAAAAUCUUCUUGUUUCGACUUCCGAAAGCUUAUAAUCCAAAAAUUACAAAAUGGUGCCCAACUAUUUGGUCCAACGAAAAACCGAAACCCAGCACAGCAGGGCUCGAUUCCUCAAAUUUCCAAACACUGAACAUUGCCUCACCUUAGAAAACACGAGUGCAAUUCCGAAGAGAUAUUCGAUUAUUUUGAACAAACGGGAGAUUGCAACCCAGCACGAUAGGGCACUAUUCCCCGAAUUUCCAAACACCGGACAUUUCUUUCAUUUUAAAGGGUUUUUAGAAAACGUGAGUGAAAUUCUGAAGGAAUCUCCGAUUGUUUUGAACAAACGAAAAUGCGUAACCCAGCACGAUAGGGCACGAUUCUCGAAUCACCAAACAUCUAAGAUCACCUUCAUUUUGGGAGGUUUUUUAAUAAACAUGAGUGAAAACCUAAAGGAAUAUCCGAUUAUUUUGAACAAACGAGAAAUCACAACCCAGCACGAUAGGGUAUGACUCCCGAAUUAUCAAACACCGAGUAUUGCCUUCGUUUUAAAGGAUUUUUAGAAGACAUGAGUGAAAUUUUGGAGGGAUAUUCGAUUAUUUUGAGCAAACGCAAAAUUGCAACCCAGCACGUUAGGGCACGAUUCCGCGAAUUGCCAAAAUAUCAAAUCUCAUCUUCGUUUUAAAGAAUUUUUAAAUGAAUAAUUAUAAAACUAGAUUAAAAUGUAUUAAUGCGUUUUUGAAAUGAGAUGAAUUUAACCAUAAAAAUUUGGGUUUAAAAAAACCACAUUUCAUGAACUAAGUGGAAAACGAUGAUAUGGGGGAAUAUGUGUACGCACCAAAACACGACAACAGAAUAGUGGAGGCAAUACAAUUUACUUAACCAACUAACGAGAACUUAAAUGACUAAGCAUAACUAGUUUGGAAAUAUAACUCAAUUUCAACCAUGCAUGGAGAAUAAUUAACAUGACAAUAUGAAACAAAUGAAUAAAUAAUAUGCAACGAAAACAUACAUGGCAUAAUAAAAAUGAUUACUAUUAGAUGCACAAAACAAAAUGCAGAUCAAAUGAGCAAUAUGGUGUAAAACUAUUUUAAAACAAUGAUAAGUAUAUGACACAUACUAUAUGAAUUGAUGAAUUGAUAAGUAAAAAAAAACUUUUGUUAAUGGCAAGCUUAAUAAACACACGCAAUCAUUAGAAUAUAUAUAUAAUAUAAAAGAAUAAUAAUGAAGAUAUAUGACAAGAUAUAAUACACAAAAUAGAUUUAUAAAACAUAUGUACAUGUAAGUUUAUAAAAAAAAACAUGAGAUUAAUGUAGCGACAUAAAAAAUUUUGCUUUCGGUCGCUAGUUGAGUCGAUUUAUUGAAAAUUUGAAAAACGACUUUCGACUUUAUUAAAAAAAGUGAGUCGCCAUCGAUCCUUUUUCCUAGGUGUGAUCGGACACCUAAUAAAUCCUCUUCAUUUAAAAGGAAAUUCAUUUUUUAAACAAAAAAGAAGGCCGAAUUUAGGUCUACGUCGAAAAUCCAGAGAAAAAUAGGGUUCAAGAGUCGGUUACGCACAAGGAAGGUAUUAGCACCCUCGCGACGCCCAAAAUUGGUAUCUUUAUUAAACACGUGUUGUCUUGAUUUUCAAAAAUACGAAUUCAAUUUGACAUUUAACCGUGAUCUGAUUGAAAAAUGAGAAUUUGAAAUUUUGGUUUUUUAGAAGGACAUCCCAUUUUUAACACGAGCCAAUGAUAUCCACCUAACAUAGCGAUGGAAUCAGCGACUUAAUGUUGAAAUCGGUACGUUGCCUUAUUUAUUUUUGAAAUUAAUUAAAACAUAUAAAAAAAAUACCAUAUGCGAUAGGAAAUUGUAAACAAUGUAAGCGAUGAUACAAUUAAUGAAAAAUAUUAAAAUAUAAUAUUAGCAUAAAAAUAACAAUAAUAUUCACAAUAAGAAAAUAAUGUUCUAAUAAAAUCAUAAAAGAAAUAGAUUUGUGGUAAUGAUAAAAAUAUUAAUAUGGACACGAAAAAUACACACAUAUAUGUAUGUUAAUGAUGAUGGUAAUGAUAAUAAAAAUGACAAAUAUUAUGUAAUAUAUGUAACCAAACUUAUAAUUUAAGUAAAAAUGAUAAAAUAAUAAUGGAAUAAAUAUAGAUAGAUAUUAUAUGAAAUAAAAUAAUGAUACAGGAUAAUAGGAAAUUUCGAGAUUACUUAAAAGUGUGAGCGAAUAAAUAAUGAAAUAAAAUUAAAAUUAAUGUACUAUAUAAAACGCAAAUAUAUAUUAAAAAAAAGCUAUAAUAAUAAUAAUAGUAAUUAUUAAUAAAGUAAUAAUAAUAAAAAUAACAAUAGUAAUAUUAGUGAUAAAAAUAAUAGCUAUAAAAAUAAACAUAAUAAUGAUGACAAUAUAGAACAAUAAUAAUAAUAAUGAAAAUAAAAUAAUAUUAAUAAUAUUUUGUAUUACGAUGGUAAAGUAAUAACAAAGGUGAUAAUGAUAAUAAUAAUUAAUAAGUUAAAUUAAUUAGUAAUAAAGUAAUAAUUAAAUAAACAUGAAAAGGAAAGUGUAUAAAAUAAUAAUAAUAUUAAAAUAAGGUAAUUAAAAAUACUACUAUAUAAAUACAUAUAUAUACAUAUAUAACGAAAACAUUCACUAUAUUAACAAUGAUAAUAAUAAUAAUAGUAAUAAUAUUAAAAUACAAAAAAAUAAUAUAAUAUAAUAAGAAUAAUAAAAAAUACUAUAUAUAAAUAUAUAUACAUAAACAAAAAUAUACACUACUAUAUAAUAAUAAUAAUAAUAAUGAUAAUAAUAUUGAAAUACAAAAAAAAACAAAUAUAAUAAAAAUAUUAAAAUAAAGUAAUAAAAAUAAACCUAUAUGUAAAUAUAUAUACAUAUACAUAUAUACUAAAACAUAUACAAAUAUUGAUAAUAAUAAUGAUAAUAAUAAUAUUGAAACAUAAAAAGCAAAUAUAAUAUUAAUAAAAUAUUAAAAUAAAGUAAAUAAAAAUAAUAUUGAAUAUAAAUAUAUAUAUACGUAUAUAAUAAGAGUAUACACUAAUAUAUAAUAAUAAUAAUAAUAAUGAAAAGUAAUAAUAAUAUAUUAAAUAUGUUAAUUUAAUAUGUAAUGGAAAAUAACAAAAAAAAAGUAAAUUAAACCUACAAUGAAAGUUCAGGGCCAAUUUGUAAAUAAAUAAAGAAUAAAAACGAUCAAAUCGAACGCGCUAGCAAUAAAGAGGGACCAAACCUGAAAAUAAUCCUCCCUCUAAAACGCACAGCAUCGGGUAGGACUCCAUUGAAGUCCAGGCACAAAUUCGGGGCAAGAUUGAAAAAACGAAAAAUACUUGAUUGCAAAACAAUAAAAAUGUGGAAGGGCUAAAAACGCAAUUAGCCCUUCCUUAAAAAAAAGUGCGGAUCCUCAGUGGGCGGGUCGGAUCGGGUCGAUUCAGCCCCAAAACGACGUCGUUUUGGGGCUAUUCAGGACACCCUGAAACGGUGCCGUUUAAAAGGGCUAUAAAAGCAAAAAAUUUUUGAGAAGAAUUCAUUUCUGCUAUCUUUCUUAAAAAAAAACUUGGCUGUUCUCUCAAUCCCUCCCUCUCUCCCUCUAAUCGGACUCAAAGUCCGGCAAGCAAGCCGCCGUAUGUCGCCGCCGGUCACCAUCUCCGGCCACCGUUAAAAGGUAUAUAUUUUUAUCCCUUUUUUUUCUAUUUUCUUUGUAUUUAAUAUAUGUAUACAUAUGAGUAAGCAAAUUCGUAAAUAGAAAAAGAAACAAAAAUAAAUAAAUAGAGAGAAAAUAAUAAUAAUAAGAUAAUAUCACCUUUUGCUUUAGAUUUAGACUCUUGGUAUUUCAACUUCCCGAUUUGGGGUUAUUUUCCUUUUUUUGUGUUACUAAGAUCUUUGCUUUUCUCGUAUUUAAAAUCUAAUCCUUUUUUACCACUGUCGAACGUUUUUUAUACUUGCAUAGAAAAUAAAUUUUGCCGAAUCCUCUUUCUGAUUUCGGCUUGGCCUUUUAAAGCCAUGUUACAUGCAUUUUUUAGUAUUAUCUGUCCCUUCUCCUUUUGAUCUUUGCAUGCGAGUGGGUGGUGCUGACAUGGGCGGUGGAGCAGGUGGGGCAGGUGGUUGGUAUGAGGCGAUGGGAUGUCGGCUGAACUUAGGGGGCUAGGGUUUUUUCUUUUUCUGAUUUUGUUUGGGCUAGGGUUAGGUUAGGCUAUUGGGUUUGGGUCUAGUUGGGUUAAAUUUGUUGGGUUUGGGUAUUGGGUCCUAAUGGGUUGUUGGGUUUGAUUUGGUUUGGGUUCAGUAUUGGGUUUAAUUUUGUUGGGUUUAUUUUUGUAAAAGGCCCGGGCUAAUUUGGGCUUCUACAAUUAAUAAUGAGAUAUAUAUAAAUUUUUAAAAUAGUUUCAUAUAUACAUAAUUAUUAAAACAUAUAUUAUGGAAUAAAUAUUUUUAAUCAAAUAGCAUACAAAAUAUUGAGGAAUAUUAGCUAAAAACUAACAAUUUUCAUAAAAAAUUUAAAAUAUGUACCAAAGAUGAAAAGAUUACAAAAAAAAAUGUAUAAUAAAACAUAAUCUUAGAAACAUAAUGAAUUUACACAUCGCGCAUAUAUAUAUAACAUUAAAAGUAAUUAUUCGUAAAAGCAUGUAAUACAUACAAAAUUAACUUGAUUUUAUUGUAAGUUAUAUGAUAGAUUUAAAAGCAUACCUAUAUAGAAAGAAAACCAUACGCGUAGAAUACGCGAGUUUAAUAAUGUAUAGAUUAAAUGUGGUAUCCACAAUGCAUAUACAUAUAAUGAUAAUAACUUAAAAGAUAUUACAUAGGAUUAUAUGAUGCAAUACGAGAAUAAAUUUAAAAAGGAAUCAUGUGCGUAAAAUAAUAUAAGGUUGAUUAAUAUAUACAUGCAAUAAAAUUAAUUUUGAUACAAAGUAUAUAUAUAUAUAUAUAUUAAUAUUUAAAAGAGAUUGUAUAAGAAAAUUAAAAGAGUUUAAUGCAAAAAGAAAUUCGAAGUGGUUAUUUCAUAAAACAAAACAAAAUCAUGCAUGUACAAAUGUAUAUGUAUACAACAAAUAUAAUAUAUUAAAAAACAAGAUAUUGACAUGAUAAAAAUCUGAAAAUAAAGUAAUAAUAAUAAAAGGAUCAAUAUUCAAUGCGUGAAAACGCAUAGGGACUAAAACUGGCAAUAUACCAGAUACCAAAAUGUUACGUUUAGGCGCGGAUUAGAUUGCAAACAAAUGUAAAUUACAAGGAAAAAAUUAAAAAAAGGAAAAAAAGGAGCAGAUGGGCCGAUUUAAACGCAGUGCAAAAGGGGGGGAUUUAACUUGCAAAUAACCCCUCACCGCGAUGACGAGCGGAUCUUGAGAGUCAAAGAACCGGAUCGGGUCGGGCAGAAAGGGGGUGGCCUAGACGAUGUCGUUUGAGACCAUUGUUAUUGGUCUAAACGGUGUCGUUUCUACUACCAUAGAAAGGCUAAACCAUGCCUUCAUUCAGCCGAAACCCUAGAGUAACCCUGGCCUUUCUUUUUUUCCUUAGCCGAACCCUAAGUCACCGCCCUAAACCAACGAUUCCCAUCCCCCCAGGCACGAACCGCUCACCCAAGCCCGGAGGAUGAUUUUUAGCCUCAAAAUCUCCUCUUGGCCUCGACUUUAACAAAGCAGAAGGAGAUCUACGGCAUACCCCCGGUAAGGUUUCGUUUCUUGUUUCUUUUUUCUUUUAUGCACUCAAAACUCGAAAGAACGACUGAAGAUUUAGAAAUAAAUGAACUGGGCCAAGGAUAAAAGAAAAGCCUCAGAGAUUGGAAUCGGAAUCACCUUCGAAUGCUCGUUGCUUUUUUUGUAUAUUGCCUUUGUUUUUCGUUUUCUAUUGCUUCUGUAUGCGUAAAAAAUGGGAACCGAAUGUUCAAAAAAGAAAUAAAAGAAUACAAUUUUUGUUCUUUUUUCGUAUUGGCCAUUGUUGCUGCUGUCAUUUUGUCUGUUUCUUUGCAGGUACGGAGUGUGCAUUGGUGCUCGAGUACGGGGCUGUGCGUUGGCAUCGUACGGAGACUGUGCUGGCGCGGGCGUGGCUGCUAGACGGUACGGAGCAUACGACGCUGGGCUGGGGCUCGUCUGUGGUUGCGGCGCGAAAGUGAGGAGGAAGCUCUAGGGUUUCUUUUCUCAAAACACUGGGCCUAAUGGGCUAGUAAUUGAUAUUGGGCUGUAGGGCAUUGAUUAAUGACUGUUUUGUUUAUUUGGGUUUUAUGUUUAAGUUUGGGCUAUUGGGUUUGGGUUUAAGUUUGGGCCAUUGGGUUUGGUUUUAGGAUAUCUGUAAAUGGACAUUUAUUUAAUUAUUGGGUUUUUUACUAUUUGGUUUGAGGUUAAUGGGCCGGGCAAAUUUGGCCACUACAUUAUUAAUAGAUUUUAAAUUUUUUAUUUAUGAAUUUAAUAAAAUGUUAUAAUUUUUACUGAAAUGAAAUAUAUUAAAAAUAUUGUAAUAAAGUUCAUAUUUUGAUUUAUUUGUGAAAAUUAAAAAACUCAUCAAGUUUAUAUAAAAAUGUAAUUUUUAUUUUAAACAAACGAUAGAAUCAUUUUGUUGCACCAAAGUGCCUAUGUGCUGGGUCGGAUACCACACAAAAUUUUCCUAAAGCUCUUGCCCAAGAGUUAUUUAGGAUGAUGGGCUUUGAUUGAACUGUUAGCCCAAAAGGUUAUAUUAAUAUAUAUAUUAUAAUUAAAUUUAAAUAUUUUUUUAUUUUAAAUGUACGUACCAUUAUACUGAAACUCACAAUAAUAAUAAAUGUAAAUUAAAUUAGUCAUUUAACUACUAACUUUUUAUAAAUAAUGAUUUCGAUUUACAUGUCAAUCUAAGUCAUGCAAAAUGUCUAACGUACCAGCUUAUAUAACCAAAGAAAAGAGUUUAAUUUGUAGGGUAAGGGACACCAUUAAUCAAUAAAUUAUUAAUACAUUUUUAUUUUGGUCAUUGAACUACUUAAAAGUUUUCAUUUAAGUCAAAUUAGAAUGUUAAAAUAAAUGUUACAUGGCUUUUUUAGUUCGCAUUGUCUGCACUAAUCGAAAGCUCUUUUUUCUCAUUCUCUUCUACAAUUCAGUUUUUUUUUAUGAAACAAUUUUGGAUGUCACAAAUUUACGAACCAAAUUUUAAACAACUUUUCUCUCUGAUAUCCUACAUUGAUAUUCACACUGACUUGGAUCUAAAGUAUGUUCUUUUACUCGUCAAUGGAUACUAGUCCACAGUACUAAUCGUCGAAUCGUUGCUUGAAACUCAUUGGUGGAACUUUUAAAAAAAAAACUUAAUAACCUCGUGAUUUAAAUAAAAACUUUUGAAUAGUUUAGUAGCUUAAAUGAAAACUUUAAAAUAAUUCAAUAAUCAAAUUAUAAUUUUUUAAUUAAAUGACCAAAACAAAAAUUUACCCAUAAUUUAAUGACUAAUGGUGCAAUCUACACUAAUUUGUAUCACUAAAUUAUUUUAAGGGAUCGUGAGGUGUGGUGUGACAAUACUUGUUACAGAUAGGCAAAGUUUUCAUCAAAAUUUGAAAGAAACCUAGUGCACUAGUUAUAUAAGCUUUAGGGUAAAUUACAUCAAUUGUCUCUAAUCUUUGAUUAAAAUUAUAUUAUAGUCACUUAAUUUUUAAAAGUUAUAUAAUUGUCACUAAAAUUAUCGAAAUGUUACAUUUUAGCCAUUCAUCCGUUAAGAAGAUGAUAUGGCACAUUAAUUUAAAGGGUUUGUCCCUGAACAAUAAUUAAAAUAUCAAUUUGAUACUUUUAAAAUUUUUCUUAAUAAUAAUUCUAAAAAAUUAAAGGGUAAAUUACACAGAUAGUCACUUAAGUUUUAAUGCAUUCCUAUUUUGGUUACCAGAUUCUUUUUUGUUAAUUUAGUCACUUCCAUUAGAUUAAUUGUCAUUUUUAGUUACUCCAUCGUUAAAAUACAUUGGUACUGAACGGAAUGUUGAUGUGGCAAUCUUUUGAUUGGUGUAAUAACAAAUUUAACCCUUAACACUUUACACAUUCUAUCUACUUGGUCCUAUGUUGAAAAAAAUCAACAAAUUUAACUCAAUGUUUACACAUUUUUAUCAAUUUAGUCCAAAUUCAAAAAAUCCAAAAAUUUUAUAAUUUUAAAAACUUAAAAAAUAUAUAUAAUUUAUUAUAAAAAGACAUAAAACUAAAAAAUAAUUAAAAAUAUAUAUAAAAUUACUUGGUUAGGUUUUGAUGGUAGAUGAAAUAAUUUAUACUUUUCUUUGGCUGAUGCAAACUUGGUUUAUACCAAUGGGGGAAUAGGCUCCGCAAGUGAUGCUCACUGAUCAAAACAAUGCCAUAAAAGUAGUUGUAGUUGCUGUGUUUCCUGCUACACGACAUUUUUUCUGUGUUAUGGCAUGUCUUGGGUGACUAUUUAAGUAAUUUACCUUUUUUAGAAUUAUUAUUAAGAAAAAGUUUAAAAGUAUCAAUUUGAUAUUAUAGUUAUAGUUUAGGGGCUAAAUUGGUUAUUAAACCUUCAAAUUAACAUGUUUUGUCAUUAUCUUAAUGAAAGUUAACGGAUGAGUGACUAAAAUGUAAUAUUUCAAUAACUUCAGUGACAAUUAACUUUUCAAAGUUGGAUAAUUAAAAUAUAAUUUUAAUCAAAUGUUAGUGAUAAUUGAUGCAGUUUACUCUAAAUUUAUAUAUAUAUAAGCACCAUAUUAAUAGAGUUUAAUAAAUAUUCUUUUCGUAUAAUCAAAACCGGAUUAGAUUAGAUUAAUCAAUGGUUGAAUAGGUUACAUAUAUUCGGAAAUAAUGAAAAUUGUUUUGAACUGAAAAUUUGAGAGUUGAUAUGGGAUAUUGAGAUGAGGAGAAAAAGGAAGUUAUAUUUGUAUAAGAAAAAGUUUGAAAGUAUUCAAUCAUUUUUGUGAAAUAAUAUUGAACAAAUUUAUUAAUAAAAUUUGAACAUUCAUAAUGUUUUCUCAAAAUUACAAACUUCAUCACCAGACUAGCGUCGAUUUCUUGUGAAAAAGGGAUUAAUUAAAAAGUCAACAUGCUUCCUUUUAAUGAAAUCUUAAAAGAAUGAAUUAAUCAAACAGUAAAUUGUUGACCAAUAUUUUCCGGGAAGUAGCUUUCAGAUGCUUAAAAAGUAACAGUGUAUUUUACAAUAUUAUCAGGCUACAUGGCCUCACUUUGUAUUGAAUAUAUAUUAUAAACGAAAGCAAAGAACAAAAAUACAAAAUAAAUAAAGAAAAUUACUUAGUGCUUUAACUUAUUACAAAGGGAUUUGUCUCCUUAGUAUGUUUCUACCAUGGGAGAUCCCCACUUUUAUCCCAAAUAUCAGGUUAUCAUUACGUUGCCUUGGAGACAUCCUUACUUGACCUAUUGUACUUCAUAUGGCUCCUAACUAGUUGUCCUGCUGAAAUUGCAGACAUAAGCGACAGCUCCCCCGCAAGAACAGCAGACGCUACAAUGGUUGCCAGCGUCCUAGAGUUUGCUCCUGGUGUCUCUUUGCUUGCACCCUUCACUCCAAGUAAGUUCAAACAGGCUGAUUGAGAUGCAAGCUGAGUUCCACCACCAACAGUCCCAACCUAAAAGAUACAGCAACACAGAUAAUUAGGGACUAACAUAAAUACCCAGAUUUUGUUUUGGCAACGGAAGUCCUUGUGUUGGACAAUCAGACAGCAACACUAUCAAUUACCUCGAUGGAAGGCAUUGUGACAGAGACGUGGAGGUCCUUGCCAUCAUUAACAGCUUCCAUCAUCGUGAUGCAAUGCGAGCUCUCGACGUUUUGAGCCGGAUCUUGGCCGGUAGCUAUGUAGAUUGCAGCAACGAUGUUACUGGCGUGAGCGUUAAAUCCACCCAGAGCUCCAGCCAUAGCUGAUCCAGUAAGGUUCUUCAGCAUGUUAAGCUCAACGAGAGAUUCCACACUUGUCUUCAAGACCUUCCUAACCACAUCACCCUUAAUGGUGGCUUCACAGACAACAGAUUUGCCUCGUCCUUCAAUCCAAUUUACCGCAGCCGGUUUUUUGUCGGAACAAUAGUUUCCUAUAUGCAAAAAUUCAUAAAUAUCAGUGAUCCUAUGUCGGAUAGUAAAAGACAUAAUUGCAAGCCUAUACAAAAAAAUGAAACUCACCAGAGAUGCCAAUGACAUCCAUGUCAGGGAAAUCAGUCUGAAGGAAAUCCAAAACAUUUUGCACUCCCUUGGAAACCAUGUUCAUCCCCAUAGCAUCACCUGUACUGCAAGUGAAUCUAAUAUACAGAUUCUUUCCAGCAAUUGCACAUUUGAUACCCUGGAGCCUGCCAAAUCUACUUGAUCUGCAACCACCAAAAAGCCAAAUUUUCAAUAUUAGCUUGAAUUUUAAAUCAAUCAAUAUGGAGUUCUAGAAAUAUAAAAACAAACCUGUUGAAAACAACAGACAAGGUCUCGAAAUUAUCAGGGUCCUCCAAAUACAACUUCAAAUCAGCUGCCCUUUUCGCAUUACCGAACCUUACACAUGGAGCUCUAGUCAUACCAUCUUUCAAUAGAACACUUGUAGCUCCACCAGACAAAUGAAUAGCCUUACAGCCCCUAUUAGUGCUAGCCACCAAGCACCCUUCCGUGGUAGCCAUAGGAACCGAGUACUCUCUUCCAUUAACCAACAAAGGCCCGGCAAUUCCAACGGGAAUUUGCACGUAGCCAACCGGCAUCUCACAACACUGCCCUAGAAUCGACUCGUAAUCAAACCCAUCCAAGGGCAAUCCAGAUAACGACUUCCCUGUUAAUCUUUGCAACGCUUCCCGCCUGAUUGCAGCCGCCCUCUUGCAAUCACCCAAUUUCAAUUCCAAGGAAUACGAAGGGGUUGUACCAGCCACUACAGAUUUAAUUAUUUCUUCAUCUUCCUCCGUUAGAACCGUCACAGGCUUUUCAUCGAACACCUUCUGGACGGUCACGAUUGGUGCCGCAGGAGGCAGAGGUGGAAGCGAACAAUCGAGAGCUUGCCCGCAAGGGACCUUACGGGCAUCUUCCUUUGCAAGCAGAACUUCAUCAUCCUCUUCCUCGGCAAUCCAAACGUCAGGCGAUGGUUGGAAAACCAAAGAUUGAACGAAGUCAAUCCCAAAGAAACCCAAAAGGUAAAUAAAGGACGCGAAAAAUGAGAGAAUGGCGAUGAUCUCUGAAAAGGUGACGACAUGGAGAGGUGUGGAGGUACGGAUCUUCUCACGCCAACGGGAAAGAAGGAAAUAAACCACCGAGAAGAAGAGGGUGAAGAACAGGGCAUUCGUUAGGUACAAGGGAAGCGGCAGUGCGUCGGAGGCUUUACCGGUAUCUUCCUCUAAAGAAAUCUUCUUUGUUGGCUUGAGAGCUUGAACAGGUUUAGUAGAAGAUAGCCGGU